CAUUCUUAUCACUGCAAUAAAGGCAAGGGUGUUGCUCGUGAAAUCCAAGGCUGGUUAUUUCAUCCCUAACAUUCAUCACAAGCUGUUUAUUGGUUAAUGUACCAUUGGUCUCGUUGAUAAUCUUUUGAAGUGAAUAUGUAAAGGCCCCAUACGCCUUUCCUUGGGUUUUGUCACUCGGUUCCAAAUCAAGGGAUAGCUCAUCGGCUUGGCACCUACUUAAUAGAAUCCCCUCAUCCUCCGUUAAUGACCUUGGCUCCUGAGAGGGUCGGAAUUUUAAACUGACGUUGUCUCAAAAGAUUCCGGUCAAAAGAUGGCCAAUGUUGCUGACAAUAUCUAAUCCAGUAGUGCUGAAGGCAACUGUUGUGCCCAAUACGUCUGAUGCGGCGUUUAUGACGUUGGCUGCUGUUUGUAGGCCUUGGUGUAUUGAUUCAAGUGAAAUUCCCCUCUUCCGGGCGUCAACCGAUGGUGCUAUACCCCUUAGAGUACUAUGGGGUCCAAUUUGUUCUUUCUCUUUGUCGAUGAGACCACCGCUGUGGCACGAAUCUGAAACGAUUGUGAAGCUUGUUUCUUUUGGCAGCUGCUCAAUCAAGUGCCUGAUGUCCACGUCUGCACAGCCAUGUAUAUUUAUAAAAAAAUGAUAUGAUUAAUAAAGGAAAAUAUGUAGUUGACGAGUUGUGAUCCCAUUUUGGAAUCAUGAUCAACAUUAAUAUUUUAAAAAAAAAAAUUAAUUAUUAUUUUUUAAGAUUUAAAGUUAGAUUUAUAUUUUGACAUUUAAGGUUGAAUUUUUGAUUUGUUGAAUUUGAGUUUUGGAAAUUACGAAAUUGCGGGUUAAAACCCUACUAUGUACUAUAUUUCUAUUUUUUUAUUCAUAAAAAGAAUAAAAAUGACAAAAAAUUUCUUUAAAUUAAUUUAAUUUACUUUAUAAAAUAAAAUUAUUGUCCAAAUUCCACUAUAAGACACCAUUAAUUAGGAAGAAUAAAAAACCUACCAUAAAUGAGAUUGAGAUCACAAGGAACGAUCGCAUCAUCCUUCCGACCUGGUUUCAUGUCUGCCUCAACUCCAUGUCCACUGAAGUGGAAUAAUAGGACAUCUCCUUCUUUAGCCUCUUUCACCAUUUCUUCAAGUCCAGCCAUAAUGUUUGCACGUGUAGUUUUUUUUGGGGACCCUGGUUCAUCAGUUAUGAGCUCAACAUGUUGAGGAUCAAAGUUAAACCUUUUCAAAAUCACGUCUCUCAUGGCAUGCACAUCAUUUAUGAAUCCUUUCAACUCGUAGGGGGUGUUGGGGUAGUUGCAUCCCACCAGAAGAGCUGUCUUCAUUCUGUCUUUGAGUUUGCUUGUCUUCUGAUUUGGAUGUUGCAGGAAGAACCCAUAUAUAUACACACACACAAACAAGUUUACGUUAUACCAUGCAAUGCCAUAUAACUCAUAAGCUCACGACAAGAUGGCACCUACGAUAUUUUUAUUUCAAAAUUUAUGGUUGUUAUUUUUUUAGUUAAAUUUGAUCAUUAAUCUUUUAAUUAUUUUUUAAUAGAAAUGUUUGACUAGAAUAUUAAUUUUUUAACGAUGUUGGCAUGACAAUUCGUGUGGUAGUCCACAUGUACUUCAUGCUGACAUAAUAUUAUUUGUCAUAUAUGCCACAAUAAUAAAUAAUUUAAAAUUUAUGAAAAAAUAUUAAAAAAUGUUUUUAUAAAUUUAAAAGAAUAGCAUGAAGUACACAUGGAUUACCAUGGGGGUUGCCAUGCUGAAAUAUAAUGUUUUAGUUAGUAUUUUUAUUAAAAACAUCAAUUCGACUUUUUUUAAUGGACUUGUCCAUGGGUUGGGGCUUGACCAAAUUUUAGGCCCAUUUGAUAAGUUCGGUCUUGACCCGGCACGAAAAAUGGGCCGAAAAUUUUACCCAAGCUCGACCUGAAUAAAAAUGCUAAAACCCGAGCCUAGCCCAGCCUGCCCAUAUUAAAAUUUUUACAUUAUUUUUAAAAAAAUAUAUAAAACACUAAAAACAUUCAAAUAAAUGUUUCCCAACAACUUGAAAAUAAAUUUUAAAAAAUCUUUAUACUUAAAUAACACUAACAUAGGUGCAACUUAACAAGUAAAUGCCACUAAAAUAAUAACAUAAUUAACAAUAAAAUAAGACUUAUAUAAUAUCCAAAUAAUAAUAGCAAAAAAAUAGUAACAUAAUAAUGAAAUGGCAGGAAAACAGUGAAAAAACAACAUUUUUUUUCUUUUUCUAAAUUCGAGUCGGGCUGGAAAAAAAAACCUUACUUGAGGCCCUUAUCCAAACCUAUUUUUCGUGUCUAUAUUUUUGUUCAAGCCUUUUUACUUUUUGAGAGUCCAGCCUAUUUCAUGGGCAUGUCUAUUUUUAAAAGAUAGAUAAUUAAAUUUGAUUUUUUAAAAAGAUUAAAAGACGAAAUUUAACUAAAAGGGACCAAAUCAAUUUAUUAUAUAAUAAUUGCCUAUUUUUAUUUGUUUCUUUUGGUGUUCAAGAAUAAUACAUAUUAUACAUAUACAUGGAUAGAGCAAAUCAAGUGCACCAUUCAAAAAAUUGGGUUUAUAUGUACUAUUAGUUAAUUAGUUGACUAACUUCAAUAAAAAAUAAAAUUAUUUGGUCCAUAAAAAAAAUGUAUUUUUUACAAUUAGAAGUUACAAUAUUAACGAAACAUUAAUACAUUCAUGCUUUACUCAAUAAUUAAUUAAAAUAUUAAAUUAAUAAUCAAAAUAUAUCUAAAUUCGUAAUACAAUGUUUCAUACAAUAAUUACUCAAUCACUAUAUUGCAUUGUUUAAUUGUCGAAACAAGUUAUAACUUCCAUUGUAACAACUCAAAAGAAUAAUUACAAACCAAUGUAUUUUUAGACUUAAAUGUAGAACUAAGGCUUAGUUUAGAUGAGCGGUGCAUUUACCUAUGAUUAGUGUAAAAAUAACGGUGGUGGUGAGAUUAGAUAUUGUAACGACACUGUAAUUUGAGACAAAGAUAAAUUAAACGCACUGUACUAUACCAAACCAUCCAUCUAAACCUCACCUAAAAGUUGCUAAAGUUUCCUUCCUACCAUUAAACCAAUGUAUCAUCAACUAUUUGUACUUAUUUUUAAACACUUUUUAUUGGAGUUGCAUGAAAUGCUUGAUUGACUACGUGUAAAUUUAUACACAAAAAACCAAUAAUUUGAAAAGCUUUCCAUAGUACAAUUUUGAUAUAUUUGGCAUUUAAUAAGAAAUCAACAUAUGGAGUGGGUGAUGAAUCCGAAUUGGGGUGAGCACAGGUGUUGUGAUGGACAAAGCGUAAGACAAGGUGGUUCCCGAAAGAAGCAAGAAAGCUCUGACAAAAGGCAGCUAGGUAUUCCUUUUUCAGACAAAGAAGACAAAAGAUAGAACAUAAAGGGUGGUGGUCGAAGAUAAAUGAUUAUAACAGCACUGAUAUGAUCUGCUUCGCCUUCGUCUACCACCUCAUCUUUAUGUUUUUAUCUUGGUCGUGACUCACGUUGGCCUUCGUCUGCAAGUGCUGUCGGUCCUACUAUUGUGCUUGUGUUGCCUAGCUUCUGAUUUCUAUGUAUUAGGGUAUAUUUGAGUCGGGUGAAGUUAGAAAAAUAUUUUUAAGGAUUGAAGUUAAAUUAUAUAUUUUUAUAAGAGUUAAAAUGUAAUUUUAUAAUUAUAUUAGUUUAUAUUUUUAUAGUUUUUAGAGGUCUUAAAUCAAAAUUUUAUCAUUUUUUUGGAUAAAUUGUGUUUUUACAAUGUUUAACUUAUAAUUUUAUAGAUUUUAGAAAGGCCCAAAUAACAAUUUUCUAUUUUAGGGGUCUAAAAAGUAAUUUUCAUUUUAAGGGGGCCACUCCCCUUGCUUGCACCAGUCACCGCCUUAACGACAAGAUUAAUUCUAGUGAGAUUGAAAAUAGAUAUGACAGUGAGAUUAAUUAUUAUGGUGAUGAGAUUAAAAUCACUGGCGAGAUAUGUGUUAGGAUUUAAAUAUAUAGACUGUAGAUUUAUAGGAAGAAAGCAAAAUGACCAUUAUGGACAUUAAACUAAAAUUAAAAUAUAGUUUACACCCUUCCAUAUAUUUUUGUACAAUUAAUAUUUUCACAAUAAAAACAUUAUAUUUCAUAUUUCAUUUAUAUAAAUCAUGCAUGUCAAAUUUAACAUAAAUUAAAAAUUUCUAACUGUUUGUUUUAUGUAAAAAUACUUUUAACUGUUUAAUAAAUGUUAAUAUAUACAAUAUUUUAGAUGAAUAAGAUAGAAAUAUCAAAUCAAUUUGAAAAAUUGCAUGCAUGAAUCAUACAAUAAUAUCAAUAAAUUCAAUGGUUGAAUUGUUAAAUUAAUAAUCAUAUAAAAAUAUAUGGAAGCGUGUAAAAUUACUUUAGUUUCAUACUAGUGUAAGCGGAUCUCUCCCAUUUUAAUAUAUAAAGUUAAUUGUAUAAUUUAAAAUUAUGUAACUAAUAUUAUUUAUAAAUAUUAUAAGUAUAAAUAUAUUUCUUUAUACGCCUAAAAAAUGUAAAGAAAAUCCACAAUCAAGCUAUUUGUUGAGGGGAGGUCGGACUCUCUGUUGGGAGAAGUCUUCUAAGUGUCAUCUAUUUGGGAGUUGAUGGACCCCUCAAUAAGAGGUAUUGUUCUCGUGUCGGGGUUUUUUCCUUGGCCUCCACAAAAAGCAGCUAUACGAUUCUCUAAGGGGGGCUCGGUUGGUGGAGAGAGGUAUAAUGGCUCUUUGUAGAGGUUGAGGAAAAAACCUUGACACGAGGACAAUACCUUCUGUUGAGGAUUCUGUUGGCUCUCAAGGGGGCAAUACUUCGAAGAAUUCUUCUAAGAGAAAAUCUAACUUCCCCUCAACACUAUUCACACACCCUUAUCCCAAACCAACAACCAAAUAUCACUACAACCACAAUCAAUCAUACAAAAAUGCCAAAUAAUAACAAAUAAAAGCAGGAAGAAAGUCUCCUAUGUUAGCAUACUCAAAUAGGACUUAUGGAAUCAAAGAAAAGAGAAUGAAAAUAUAUAAAAAAAAUGAGACAUAAACGUACUAGAUUCAGUUAGGAGUUAAUCGGAGAGUUUUGGGUGUGGAGGCUCAAACAAAAGGUCAAGGAGAAAGUUUUAUUGAGAAGAUGAACAUAUUGGACUCAAGUGACCAUCUGAUGAUGGCAGACAAAGAUCAAAUAGCUUCCUUGUUAGAGUUUUGAGUUUGAAUCAACGAAGUUUUAGGCCAUUUUAAGGAAAAUUAAAUCAUAAAGUUGAAAGAGGAAGGAUAGGGCUAUACUUUUAUGUGUUUCUUUGCUGAAGGUGGAGGUUGGACAAUGGUGAGAUUACUGGAAUACAAUAGUGAAAGAGGUUCCUAAAACCCUAAAACUUUUGAAUAGUUUAGUGACCAGCUUAUAACUUUUCUGAAAUUGAGUGACCGGAGUGCAAACUUAUUAAUAUUUAAGUGACCUUGGGUGUAGUUUACCCUAUGAUGAAUAGUGAGUUAACGAUCAUGCCAGACAUCCACUAGAAACCUAAUGGUCCAAUGAUUUAAAUGAUAGAUUUUGAAUAGUUAAAUGACUAAUUUGUAACUUUUUAAAUUACUAAUAGCCGAGUAACCUUGAAUGUAAUUUACCCUCUCUUGUUUGACUUAAAAAAUCAAAUACAAGAUGGACUUUUCCACAAUAGGCUGACAUCAACAAUGUGGAAAUAGCACGGUCCAUACCUAUAAUAGUUGAUAUCAAAGGAAGAAGAAUUCAAUGACUAAAUGACAUGAAUAUAAUGUAGAAAAAGUUAUGGAAGAAAGAGUCCACGAACCCCUUUCUUUUUUGCCUCUAGAUUUUUAAGUUUGUGAAGAAAAACUAGUGAUAUUCUUUUUGUCCCUAUAUCUAGUAAACUACCCAUAAAAAUUAUCUCUGGAGUAGAAAUGGAUGACUUAGGGAAAAUUAAACAAAAGUAAUAAUUUUUUGGGAUAAAUUUUAAAAUUAUAUAAAUAUUUAUUCAAUGUGUAAUUUAAUACAUAAAUUUUAAUUUUAUGUAAUUAUAUAUAUAACCCCUUGUAAAAUGGGAAUCCAGAUGAAUUAACAAAUUCAUUUUAGGGGCUGGAAGGGCCCUAACCCUUAUUAAAAUGAGAAAUUUCGUUUUUAGUCUUUUAAAAUUUAUUUUUAAGUUAGUACAUGGUAAAAUUUUACUUUAGCUCUUAAAAAACGAUAAAAUUUUGAUUUAAUCGUUUAAAAAUUAAAAAAAGAUAUAAACUAUUAAAAUGAUAAGAUUUCAUUUUAACUCUCAUAAAGAAUAUAUAAUUUAAUUAUGACUUUUCGAAAAAAUAAAUUUUUGACUUCACCCUUAUUCGAACUUUAAAAAUUACUCGAAAAAAAAGGUUUUGCUGACUAAGGCAACAAAACAAAGGGAAACGAGAUUCACGAGGGGGUGAAGACGAAAUUCAAAACCAAAGUGAUACGAGCCAAGGAGGUGACAUUCAAAGGGUUGUUUUUCCUAGUGGUCCAAUCACUCGAAGCAAGACACGACAAUUAAAAUCAAAGAUGAAUGCUUUUGUCCAAGACUUUGUUGCUACAAAUUUAAUUCAUCAUGUUCGUGACGUUGACAAAUAUGGGAAUGCAAUUCACUGGACCAAUCUUGGAAUAGUGAAAGCCCAUAAAUUGGUGGAUUAAUCUUUUAUGUAUAUUAUUAUUAUUUACUUAAUUCUCAUUGGUUGGGACACAUCACUUAUGAGUUAAGUAAUUUUAUUGAUUAGGUUAUUAUUUAUUUAUUUUCCUAGAUAAUUUUAAAGAGUUUUAUUAGGAUUCAAUUACUCUUGAAAGAGUUUUAUUAGGAUUCAAUUACUCUUGUAAUUUGCCUAUAAAUAGGCUUGCUUUCUACACAUUGGAGGGGGAAUAAAAAGAAGAGUAUUUUGUUUUCUUCGAAAUUUGUGUGAGGCAAAUUUUUGAGAGUAGAGUAAUUCUUCUCUUGCUAUUUAGUUUGGAGUUUGUUACUUUCGAGGGUAUUUCGGAGUUACAAAUAUUCAAAUUUCUUUCCCGUUCAUCGGUGUUUCUAGAGGUUCUUCUUCUAGGGGUUUCGUAGGGAGCCGCUCAAUCAUUGGCGUUUUUGGUUACAAGUUAACCAAGGGUUCAAUAGGGCAAAUCUAUCCUUUUUAUUUAUUUAUUUAUUAUUAUUUAACUAAUUUUAUUUAUUCUCGUUUUAUUUCUAAUUUAUGUUUCUCUUGUGUCUAGAUCCGGGUUUCCGAAUCAAUUGGUAUCAGUUUCAGGCCAUUCGGUGUUAUUUUUGAAGCUAAAAUCAAAUCCGAAGCGAGUCAAAAUACCAAAAACACUUUUCAUCGGUUUCGUCGAUUCUCUUUUUUUUUGAAGUUUGUGUUUAUUCUCCUCUUAUUCUUUAAAAAAAAACCAAAAAAAGCAAAAAGUGCAAAAAAAAAAAGCAAAAAAAAGUUGCCUACCUUUCAUACGUAGGUUUCUUGUUUUCCUAUUAUUGUUAUUAAUUUUAUUUUUAUUUUUCCCAAAAUUGAAUUUCUUUUCCUUUUUCUUUUCUUGACUCAAGUAUAAUUAAAGCUUCAAUUUUUUAAAAUCUUAAGACACCAAACAUUUCCGAUUUUUGUUUUUUUUAAAAUUUGGGUAGAGUUUUCUUAAGUUUUUUUCUUAUUAAAGCUUUUCUUUGACUCUAGAGUUAGGGAUCGUUGCAGGUCUACGUUUUUUUUUGUUUCUCAUACGCUUUCUAACACUUUGUUUCUUCUUGUGUUAGCAGAUAUUAAAGGCACGCACAAUUCCUUCAUCCGUGUAGCCUCCAUUACAAAUUGCCUUAUCAAGUUUAUUGGCCUCUUAGAGCAAUUAGGGUCUUCAUUGUUUCUUGAAGUUUGCACCUCCGUUAUUUAAUCUUGAUUAGUAACCCUCUCCAAACUUAUUUACAAGUUUUGAAUCAUUCAGAGAGUUAUUCUUUUGAGAGCUAACGAGUGAGGUUAUUAUUAUUUUUUCUUUCUUGUUCCUGUUUGUUUGAUCUUUCACAGAUACCAUGCCUCUCACUAGAUCCCAAACUAGUAAAAAUGAAGAGGAUGAGCAAAAAAGAAAGAACGAUCCUUUGGUCGAGUUGUUACAAAAAGAGAUGAAAAAGUUGCAAACUCAAUUCGAACAUUGCGUGACCCAGAUGUUACAAGAGCAAAUGGAGUAUCUUGAUACAAAACUUACAACUCAAGAGAGAUACAUUGCCGAUAAUUACAAGAAGUUGAACGAAUCCUUUAUAAGCCGAUCAAAUUCGUGAGAUCGAACUUUUAAACGAAGGGAGGACCAUGUUUUUGAUGAUGACUUUGAGUCCGAGUAUGUACCUAGAGAAAGGUUGGAACGAAACAAUGACACCCCCAAACCAAAAUUUCCUUCUUUCUCAGGGAAGAAUGAUCCUGAUGCUUACCUUGAUUGGGAGGAAAAGAUGGAAGUAGUCUUUGCUUGUUACAAUUACUCUGAUGAGAAAAAGGUAACAUACGCUGUCGCUGAGUUCAUUGAUUAUGCACUAACAUGGUGGAAUCAAUUAUGUAAAAGCAGGAUUCUUUAUAGAGAGCAACCUGUUACUACUUGGGUUAAAAUGAAGCGCAUCUUGCGAAAACGGUUUGUUCCACCAUACUAUUAUCGAGAACUCCAUCAAAGACUCCAACAUCUUGUUCAAGGAGAUAGAUCUGUGGAUGACUACUACAAAGAGAUGGAGACUAUUCAGAUUAGAGUCAAUCUUGUUGAAGAAGCUGAGAUGACUAUGGCUAGAUUCCUUGCCGGCCUAAAGCUUGAGAUUGCAAAUCGAGUUGAGUUACAACACUACAUAGAUGUUGAAGAGAUGCUUCAAACCGCACUCACCAUUGAAAAUCAAUUACGAAAGAAAGGGACAACGAGGGGUGCUAGUUCAAUUUCUAAUCCUGCUUGGAGAGGAAAUUGGCAAAAACAAGAUGAUAGAUUGUGGAAUAGGAGAGAUGCACGGUUCAAGCCAAAUGAGCCUAGAACUUACUCUAAAGAUAGAGGUAUGCCUAAUUCAUUUAAAGGUUCUACUUCUACUAAUCGAGCUUCAUCUUCUUCUUCUACUUCUCCUAGUGCUAUUAAGCAGCCAAAAGAUAUUACCUGCUUCAAAUGCCAAGGAAGGGGUCACUAUGCUCAAGAAUGCCCUAAUAAAAAGUAAUUGGUGAUUCGAGAAGAUGGCGGGGUUGAUUUUGAGUCUGAUAACGAAGAUGAGAUGCCUCCUUUGGAAGAUGCUGAUGAUGUGCAUACUCAUGAUGAGUAUGAAGAAUACUUGGAGUAUGGUGAGAAAGCACUUGUUGCUCGAAGGGCUUUAAAUGUCCAAUUUAAAGAGGAAGGGCGCGAACAAAGAGAUAACAUUUUCCACACGAGAUGUUUGAUUGGUGGACAACCUAGUUCAUUGAUCAUCGAUAGUGGAAGUUGCACCAAUGUGGUAAGUUCUUCCCUUGUUGAGAAACUUGGCCUACCUUGUGUGAAGCAUCCAAGGCCAUACCGCUUGCAAUGGCUGAAUGAUAGUGGGGAGGUAAAAGUAUCUAAACAAUGCUUAGUUUCAUUUUCCAUUAGUAGAUACUCUGAUAAAGUUUUGUGUGAUGUUGUUCCAAUGCAAGCUGGGCACAUAUUACUUAGACGGCCAUGGCAGUUUGAUCGACAAGUAAAUCAUGAUGGUUUCCUUAACCAAUAUACCUUUGUGUUCCUUGGAAAGAAGUUUACUUUGGCUCUAUUUCCUCCUCAAGAAGUCUACAAUUUUGAACUCAAACUUGCUAGUGAGAUGGGUAAGGGAAGUGAGGUAAAAUCAUUAAAAAAGGCUGAGAGUAAAGAGGCCCUUAGUGUUAAAAGCCAACUUAAAGGCCCAACAUUGGUGAGUGAUUGCACACACAAGUCACGAGAUGAGAAAGUGAGUUUAUUCGCUAGGUUUCGAGAUAUCAAAUUUGCUCUUUGUACAAAACAAACAUUUGUAAUUAUUAGGUUUAGGGAAAAAUUUGUUUUGACUAACCCUAAUACACAUUUGCCUAGUUGUUUUGUUGAUCUUUUGCAGGAUUUUAAGGAUGUAUUUCCUUCUGAAAUGCCUAAGAGAUUACCUCCUUUACGAGGGAUUGAACAUCAAAUUGACUUUGUGCCUGGUUCGAGUAUUCUGAAUAAACCAGUCUAUCGAAGCAAUCCUGAAGAAACUAAGGAGUUGCAAAGGCAAGUUAAAGAUCUCUUAGAGAAAGGGUUGAUUCGUGAGAGUCUAAGCCCUUGUACGGUUCCUGUACUUCUCGUCCCAAAAAAGAUGGUUCUUGGAGAAUGUGUGUUGAUUGUCGUGCUGUCAACAAGAUUACGGUAAAGUAUCGAUAUCCAAUUCCUUGAUUAGAUGAUAUGUUGGAUGAGCUUAAUGGUGCAUGCAUUUUCUCUAAAAUUGACUUAAAAAGUGGUUACCAUCAAAUAAGAAUGAAACAAUGUGAUGAAUGGAAAACUAAUUUUAAGACUAAGUAUGGCCUGUAUGAGUGGUUAGUCAUGCCAUUUGGCUUAACUAAUGCUCCUAGCACAUUCAUGAGAUUAAUGAACCACAUACUUAGACCUUUUUUAGGAAAAUUUGUCGUUGUGUAUUUUGAUGACAUACUGAUUUAUAGCAAAACUUUGAAUGAUCAUGUUGGGCAUGUUAAAUUAGUAUUGGAUGUGUUAAGGCAUGAACGACUCUUUGCUAAUCUUGAAAAAUGCACCUUUUGUAUGGAUAAGCUUGUUUUUUUGGGUUUUGUGAUAAGUUCUACAGGAAUCCAUGUGGAUGAGGAGAAGGUAAAGGCAAUUAAAGAAUGGCCUAUCCCUAAAACUGUUUCUGAGGUAAGGUCUUUCCUUGGGUUAGCCGGUUUCUACCGCAGGUUUGUUCGUAACUUUUCCACAAUUUCUUCGCCUUUGACUGCACUUAUUAAAAAGGAUGUAUCUUUUCAUUUGACAGAUAAGCAAGAAUUAACAUUUAAUGAACUUAAAGAUAAAUUGUGUAAUGCUCCUAUUCUUUUUUUACCUAAUUUUGAAAAGACCUUUGAGAUUGAAUGUGAUGCUUCUGGUGUAGGUAUAGGUGCCGUCCUCAUGCAAGAUAGUAAACCACUAGCCUACUUUAGUUAGAAACUUGGUGGAGCACAUUUGAACUAUUCGACCUAUGAUAAAGAGUUGUAUGCCUUGGUAAGGGAAUUAGAAGUUUGGCAACAUUACCUUUUACCAAAGGAGUUUGUGAUUCACACUGACCAUGAAUCACUUAAGCACUUAAAAUGACAAGGUAGGUUGAACAAGAGACAUGCGAGGUCGGUUGAAUUCAUUGAAUCUUUUCCUUAUGUUAUAAGGUAUAAGAAAUGUAAAGAUAAUAUUGUGGCUGAUGUUUUAUUAAGGAGGUGCACUUUACUUAGUACUUUGCAUACUAAGUUAUUAGGUUUUGAGUAUCUCAAAGAUUUAUAUGCUACUGAUUCUGAUUUUACAAGCAUUUAUGACGCAUGUGAACAUGGUGCAUUUCAAAAAUUUUAUAAGCAUAAUGGCUAUCUUUUUCGAAAUAAUAGACUAUGCUUACCAAAGUGUUCAAUGCGAGAAUUGUUGGUUCGAGAGGCUCAUAGUGGUGGUCUUAUGGGUCAUUUUGGAGUCAUUAAGACUUAUGAUGUUUUACAUGAGCAUUUUUAUUGGCCUAACAUGAGAAAACUUGUUGAGAAAAUUUGCUCUACUUGCAUUACUUGUAAACAAGCUAAAUCCACUGUGAUGCCUCAUGGUCUAUAUACUCCUCUUCCUGUUCCUAGUUCACCUUGGACUGACAUUUCAAUAGAUUUUGUAAUAGGUUUACCAGGGACAAAGCGUGGAUGAGAUAGCAUCUUUGUGGUUGUGGAUUGAUUUUCUAAAAUGGCUCAUUUCAUUCCAUGCCAUAAGACUGAUGAUGUAACCCAUGUUGCCGAUCUAUUUUUCCGUGAAGUUGUGAGAUUACAUAGAAUCCCAAGGACUACCGUUUCUGAUAGAGAUGCAAAAUUUCUUAGUCACUUUUGGAAGGUGUUAUGGGGUAAGUUAGGUACUAAACUACUUUACUCUACUACAUGCCACCCUCAAACUGAUGGUUAAACCGAGGUGGUAAAUCAAGUUUUGGGAUCUUUGCUUAGAGCCAUAAUAGGUAAGAAUGUUAAAUCUUGGGAAGAAUGGAUACCCUAUGUUGAGUUUGCUUAUAAUCGUUCUGUUCAUUCUUCCACAAGUUUUACUCCUUUUGAGAUUGUAUAUGGCUUUAAUCCACUUACUGUUUUAGAUUUGUUUCCUUUACCUUUGAAUGAGAUUGCUAAUUUAGAUGGUGAAAGGAAAGCUGAUUUAGUGAAAGAGAUCCAUGAGAAGGCUCGUAAAGCCAUUGAGAAAAAGAAUGAGUCCAAUGCACAUCGAGCUAAUAAAGGGCGGAAGCAAGUCUUGUUUGAACCUGGAGAUUGGGUAUGGGUGCAUAUGAGGAAGGAACGAUUUCCUUCUAAGAGAAAGAAUAAACUUGAUGCACAAGGAGAUGGACCAUUCCAAGUACUCGAGAAAAUAAAUGACAAUGCUUAUCGCAUUGAUCUUCCUGGUGAGUAUAGUGUUAGUGCUACUUUCAAUGUUUCUGAUCUUUCUCCUUUUGAAUUUGAUGUAGGUUCAGAUUCGAGGACGAAUCUUCUUGAAGAGGGGGAGAAUGAUAGGAGCCAAGGAGGUGACAUUCAAAGGGUUGUUUUUCCUAGUGGUCCAAUCACUCGAAGCAAGGCACGACAAUUAAAAUCAAAGAUGAAUGCUUUUGUCCAAGACUUUGUUGCUACAAAUUUAAUUCAUCAUGUUCGUGACGUUGACAAAUACGGGAAUGCAAUUCACUGGACCAAUCUUGGAAUAGUGAAAGCCCAUAAAUUGGUGGAUUAAUCUUUUAUGUAUAUUAUUAUUAUUUACUUAAUUCUCAUUGGUUGGGACACAUCACUUAUGAGUUAAGUAAUUUUAUUGGUUAGGUUAUUAUUUAUUUAUUUUCCUAGAUAAUUUUAAAGAGUUUUAUUAGGAUUCAAUUACUCUUGAAAGAGUUUUAUUAGGAUUCAAUUACUCUUGUAAUUUGCCUAUAAAUAGGCUUGCUUUCUACACAUUGGAGGGGGGAAUAAAAAGAAGAGUAUUUUGUUUUCUUCGAAAUUUGUGUGAGGCAAAUUUUUGAGAGUAGAGUGAUUCUUCUCUUGCUAUUUAGUUUGGAGUUUGUUACUUUUGAGGGUGUUUCGGAGUUACAAAUAUUCAAAUUUCUUUCCCGUUCAUCGGUGUUUCUAAAGGUUCUUCUUCUAGGGGUUUCGUAGGGAGCCGCUCAAUCAUUGGCGUUUUUGGUUACAAGUUAACCAAGGGUUCAAUAGGGCAAAUCUAUCCUUUUUAUUUAUUUAUUUAUUUAUUAUUUAACUAAUUUUAUUUAUUCUCGUUUUAUUUCUAAUUUGUGUUUCUCUUGUGUCUAGAUCCGGGUUUCCGCAUCACAAAGGGAUAAUCAAAGGAGAAAAGUCGUAUAAAAUAUAUGUGGUAGCAGGGAAGAGAUGCUAAGGGAUUAGAUAUUUAUAAUAUUAAUUUAUAUUUUGUUAUUCAAUAUAUAUUUAAUUCUUUUCACUAUUUAUUGUUAUACAAAUAUUAGAUUUAUUUAAAAAUUAUGCUAUUUGUUUGUUGAAUUAAUCGUAUUUUUAGGCCGGAGCAAUAAACCUAUUUGAAGUGGUUCAUAUUGUCCUAGAAAAACCCAUGUACGAACAAUGAUUAAUUUUACUUUCCCACCUAACUACUCUUGGCUGGGAUAGGUCUUGGUGGAGAAGUUAUAGACACAUUUUCAUACUUUGUAUCUGGAAUACUUUACUUAAUUUCUUUUGAUGUAUUGAGUUUUGGUAGUAUUUAUCAUGCACUUUGGGACCUGAAACUUUUGAAGAAUCUUUUUCAUUUUUCGGUUAUAUAUGGAAAUGUAGAAAUAAAAUGACCAUAAUUUUGGGUAUUCACUUCAGUUUGCUUCGUAUAGGUACUUUCCUUCUAGUAUAUGAUAUUUGGGCUCGGUUCAACAUAUUGAUACUAAAUAUAAAUCUAACAUAAACCUAGUGGCCCAUGAAUGCUUUACAUGCUAAUAAAAUCAACUAAUAUUUUAUAAAUACUAUUAAACAUUUUCAGUUAAUAUAAAUGUUGAUCAAAUAACAUAAAAAUUCAUGUACAUUUUUUUACAUAAAUUUAGAAUCUUUUAUCCACUAUCUUAAAUCUAUUGACAUCGACAUUGUUUCUAGUGCAGGAGAAUGUGGAUUCGAGUACACUGAGACAUAUCCUCUUAUUUGAAAGUUAGGGAGAAAUUAUAGAUAAUUCUAAACAUUAUUUCAAAUUUUAUUAUAUUGGAUGAAUGGUUAUUUUAGAUCACAAGCUAAAUUUUGGGUUUUAUUUAGUAUGAGCUUUGUUAAUAAACUUAUUUAGGAACCUGAGCCAAAUGUAUAAUAUAUGGAUAUAGGUUGUAGUAUUUUUUUCGUAUUUAAAUGAUAAUUUUCGUUGUAGAAUCACCUUUGGUGAUUAUUGUGAUGUGGAUUUCAUAAUUAAUAUUGCACGUGAAAUUUAAGGUUUUCCAAAAACCUUAAUUGUUUUUGAAGACUUUUGUUAUUAUACCCCGAUCCAUAUGACAUCCAUCACCGUCAAAUGACAAAAAGUAAUUUAAUGCACAUGAAUUGUGCCUCUACUGGGGUAGUAGGUCUUGGCGGAGAAGUUAUAGACACAUUUUCAUACUUUGUAUCUGGAAUACUUCACCUAAUUUCCUCUGCUAUAUUGAAUUUUGGCGGUAUUUAUCAUGCGUUUUGAGAUCUGAAACUCUUAAAGAAUCUUUUUCAUUUUUCGGUUAUGUAUGGAAAGAUAAAAAUAAAAUGACCAUAAUUUUGGGUAUUAACUUCAUUUUGCUUGGUAUAGGUGCUUUUCUUCUAGUAUACGAUAGCUGAGCUCGGUUCAAUUUUAAAUAAAAUAAUCUAAUAUUUCGAAUUAAACCAAACUUAAACAAACGUAUUGAUAUUAAAUAUAAACCUACCGGCCCAUGAAUGCUUUACAUACUAAUAAAAUCAACUAAUAUUUUAUAAAUACUAUUAAAUAUUUUCAGUUAAUAUAAAUAUUGAUCAAAUAACAUAAAAAUUCAUGUACAUUCGUUACAUAAAGUUAGAAUCUUUUGUCCACUGUCUUAAAUCUAUUGAUAUCAGUAUUGUUACUAGUGCAGGAAAAUAUGGGUUCGAGUACACUGAGACAUAUUAUCCUCUUAUUUAAAGGUUAGAGAGAUUAUAAGUAAUUCUAAGCAUUAUUUCAAAUUUUAUUAUAUGGGAUGAAUGGUUAUCUUAGAUCACAAGCUAAAUUUUGGGUUUUAUUUACUAUGAGCUUUGCUAAUAAACUUAUUGCAUUAAUAUUGGGCUAUUUGGUUUAUAAGACUCUUCGACCUCUUUUUUUUUAGAAUAAAAACAAAUUGAGCUCAUUUUUUUUAAUUUCAAGUAUAUUUAUAUAAUAUUAAAUAUAUAAAUAUGUUUUAUUAUUUUGUUAUUAAAUAUUACAAAAAAUUACAAAUAAAUCAACAAAUUACAGAAAAAAAAACUCCUAAGUUUUACAGAUUUUAUGAUUUGAUCCUUAUGUUCUGAAAUAUUAACUGUUUAGGUGAUGAAUGAAUAUUUGUUACACGUUUUAAGCCUUUAUUUAUUAAAUUUGCUUUAUUUCUAUGGAUUUUUAAUUAAAUUUGAGGACAAGGCAUAAUGUUAAAUUUAGUUCUUAACAUUUAUAUAUUUUAUCCAUUUGGCCUUAAUUAUUUUUUUGAGAUAAAUUUUGGCCUUCAACCUUUUAGAAAAGAGUUAAAAUGAUGUUUUUUAAUGAGAAUACUAAUUAAAAUGUCAAAAAUUUAAACACGAUAGCCUACAUGACAAUCCCCGUGCACUCUGAGUUAUUUCUUUUGAAAUUUUAUGAACCUUUUAUAUUUUUUAAUUUUGAUUUUUAUAAUUUUGAAUUGUUUAGUAUGAUUGGACUCUUUUUGAAAAAGUUAAUGGUAAAAUUUAGCUCAAAAAAGAAUAAAAGCCAAAUUGAUAAAAAAAAUAUAAAUGUUGAGGGCUAAAUUUAUCAUUAUACCAUUUUACAACUAGUUAUAUUUAAGUUGGUACUAUUCAUUAAAAUCAUUUAAAAUAGAUCAUACAUCUAGACUUGUUCGUGGGUCAGGCUACUCGUAUAGAUCUGAAUAAAAAUAUUAGGCCCAAAAAUGGGUUUGGCCGAAAAAAAUAAGCUUGUUUAAAAUAGGGGCUAGACUCGAGCUUGAAUGUUUAAGGACCAAGCCCAACUCGACCUGCUUUUAAGUUUAUAAUAUUUUAUAUUAUGUAAGAUAGCUUAUUGAUAAAUAUAUUGAUAAGAAAUUUAAAUAUUAAGAAAAAUACGUAAAUUUUUCAAAAUUUUACAUCUUAGUUAAAUAAACUGUACGCUUUGGGUCUUAAAUCUUGUUAUAUAUAUGAUGUAUAUGAUUCGUUUAAAAAUUAAAUUAUUAGAGUUAUUUUCAAAAAUUUAAAUUAAAAAAAUAAAGAAAAGAAGAAAUAAUAUUAUAUAAAUAAAAAAGCAAGGAUAUAAUAGGAAAGAAAGACUUCAAACGAUUGACACUGACAGUACCAUUGACAGUAACACUAAACACUGUUACUCAAAGGAAGCUCCAGUACGUUUGAAAUCAAAGCAAGGGUAAAUGUUGCUUCAUUUCCACCCUUGUGGGGAUGUUUUCAAAUCUAAUUUGAUAUCUUUUAUACAAAAUAAUAUAUAUAUAUAUAUAUAUAUAUGAACCUAUUUCUCCCUUUUUUUUGCCUUCUGUUCUAUUUUGUUUGUUAUAACAUUGAAGUCAAUUUUUCUUAAGAAUAUUAUUCCAACAAAACAAAAAUAGUUUGAAUGAGUUUUUUUAAGAAUAAAUCUGCAUUAACAUUUUAACUGAAAUAGUAAAGAGACCAAAAUUUGUUAAAAAAAAAGUAUAAGAAUUAAAUAUCAAAUUUAAGGGAUCAAAAACAAAAUAUGGUUGAAGGCUCUCUAUACUUAAAAAUAAACUAUACCAAAUAAAAGUAUUGGGAUUAAAUCUCUUAAGCAUGUUGCACUUACAAGUAGCGAAAGAGAGGAAAAACAAACUUUCAACUCAAAUGAGAGAAUAUGAUAUUUAUUGAAUUGAUGAAUAAUUUCAAAUGGUUCUAGCCUUUUAUAGGCUAUAUAAUAGUUAAAAUUAGUAACUCAAAGCUAAAAAUAACAAAGCCGAAUGAGAGAAAAAUCCUCAAUAAUCUCUAAUUUCUAAGGAUUAUUUACCAAAAAAACCUCAACAAUCCCUCCCUUAAAUUGAAAGUACACUGAACUUUCAGUUUAAUAAAUUUUUGCUACUUGAUGUCAAAGACCAAGUAUUUUCCUGAACUUGACAAAUGAUGCCAACUUGAGAGGUUUAGUAAAUACAUCAACAACUUGAUUCUCACUUCUGCAAUACUUUAGCUUAAUUGCUCUUUCAUUGCUGAGAUAUGAUAGAAAGUAAUAUUUUACAUCAAUAUGCUUGCUUCUUCCAUGCAACACGAGAUUGUUUGACAACUUGAUGGUUGAGUUGUUAUCACACAAAAUUAUAGGGGCUUUUUCUGGCUUGAAUUGUAGUUGUUCAACGAUUCUCCUAAGCCAAAUAGCUUGACAAGCACAAGCUGUAGUCUCAAAAAAUAAGACAAUGGAUUGUUUCUUAGAUGACCACGAAAUAUCCCCUGUUCCAAGCAUAAAAACAUAACCUAAAAUGCUUAUUCUGUCAUCUUGUUCUCUUGCAUAAUCACUGCCAGUGAAGCUAAUCAUGUUUGGCUUUUCACCUUUCUUCUAGAAAAUCCCAAAUCUUUGGUUCCUUAUAAGUAAUAAAGGAUUAUAUUAGCAACUAAUAAAUGUUUUUCAAUCGGGCUCUCCGUGUCCCUACUAAUAAGACUCAUAGAAUACAUAAUGUUUGGCCUCGUAGCAGUUAGAUACAUCAAACUACCUGUAAUUUGCUUGUAAAUUAUGCUAUCCACUUUUUUUAAUAAGUUUUAAGCCAAACUCAGUUAGAGUGUUGGAAGAGUUACAAUUCGUCAUCUUGAAUUUGUCCAAAAUAUCUCUCACAUACUUUUUCUCUUCCUUCAAGUAUCCAUGUAAGAAUGUCGACUUGAUAUGUAACUGAAAGAUUGACCAAGAGUUCUGCGCUACUAAAGCAAUCACCAAUCUGAUGGUGUUAUGUCUUGCAACUAGGGCAAAAACUUUUGUGUAGUCCAGACCAUACUCUUGUUUGUACCCUUUAGCCGCUAAUUGCAUAUUGCACAUCUCAACCUCCCUAUUUUCAUUCAACUUCGUCUUGUAGAUCCAUUUGACACCAAUGGUUUUGUGCCCCUCAAGAAGAUCAGUCAUCUCCUAAGUAUCAUUCCUUUUAAUGGCUUCAAUUUUAGCAUCUAUUGCCUCUUUCCAUUUACCAAAUUGGCAACAUUUUCAAAACUUGUUGGGCCACAAUCUAUAAAUAAUGCAAAUUGAGCAAUUGUAUAAUGGUUUUCUCUAAUUUUGGUUAUGUCAUAAUCUUACAUCCAUGCUGGCCUUCGAACAUGACGAAGUGCUUCAACUAUUGUACUAGUUUCUUCUUCAUGUGUAAACAAUACUUUAGUGGCUAAUGGAGAAGUAUUCUUGAACAUUUCUUCAGCUUUAUUAUCACAAAGGACUUGGGUAGGUUGUGCUUCAUCCCAAUACCAAGUGUUCUCUUCAUGAAACACAACUCUUGGCUAAUCAUGACCUUCUUUGUCACAGGAUUGAACAAUUUGUAUGCCUUUGAUGUUUCACUAAUACUAAGAAAGACACAUCAACAAGCUUCUUCCAUUUCUCCUCCGAGACAUGUGUUUAGGUAAUGCACUUAAAAAUUUUGAAGUGAUCUACCACUGGUCUCCUUCCAAUCUAAGCCUUCUCUGGAGUCACAUAUCGAAGAGCAUUAAUAGGGCUCCUAUUCAAGAUGUGGAUGUUCCAAUUUAUAGCUUUUGACCAAAACACCUUUGGAAUUCUCCCUCUUGCUAGUAGGCUUCGAACCAUGUUGAGAAUGGUUCAAUUUUUUCUCUCUGAUACAUCAUUUUGUUGUAGUGUAUAAGCAGUUGUGAGCUUUCUUUGGAUGCUGUGAACAUCACAAGUCUUCAAACACCUCAGAGGAAUAUUCACCACCACGACUAGUUCGAAGAUCUUGAAUGGUUCUUCCUUUAUCAUUUUCUACACCAGCUUUAAAGCUUUUAAAUACAUUAAAAGCUUUUGAUUUUUCUUGUAAAGGUAAAUCCAAGUCCUACAAGAAUAAUAAUCAAUAAAGGUAAUAAAAUUCCAUUAGAAAUUGGAUUUAUUGGCCCACAAAUGUCUGGAUGCACCAACUCUAAUACCUCUUUUGCUUUCCAUGACUUACCUUUAGGAAAUUGAGAUUGAUGUGGUUUGCUAGCAACAAAUUCUUCACAAAAUAGGGAAGGAAAGAUAAUUGGAGGAAGACCAGUCACCAUAUUUUUCUUUUUAAGUAUUUUCAAACCACCAAAGUUUAAAUGACCAUAGCAAAAAUACCACAACCAAGAAGGAUAUUUAACUUUUGCUAUUAAACAAGAUUGAACAACCUCAAUCUUAAAUGGAAACAACCUAUUCUGAAUUAUUUCCAUAAUAGCGACAACUGUUCUAGAUGGAUCAGAAAUCUCACAAGCACCAUUCCUGAGAGUGACAACAUACCCCUUUUCCAAUAGUGGCAUCAAAGCCAAGUUUGUUCUUGUUAGCUUAGAAAAGGUUUCACCUAUGGCCUUGGAAAGUAGUUUUGUUCAAGUAGUUAUUCCUUAUUUUGAUGAUCACUAUGACCAUUGGAGUAUGCUAAUGGAGAAUUUCCUAUGGUCAAAGAAGUAUUGGCCAAUGGUUGAAGCAGGUAUCGAAGAGUCUGUAGAAGGAAAAACUUUGAUGAAUGCCCUGAAAGUAAAGUUUGAAACAAGAAAGUUGAAAGAUUUGAAGGUGAAAAAUUAUCUCUUUCAAGCUAUUGAUUGUCCCAUCUUGAAAACUAUUCUUUGAAAAAAAAAACUUCCAAGGAUAUAUGAGAUUCCAUGAAGAAAAACUAUCAAGACUCUACUAGAAUGAAGCAAUGACAUAUUCAAGCCUUGAGGACGGACUUCGAGACUCUAUAGAUAAAGGAAGGGGAUUCUAUCACUAGCAAUUGUGCUAGAACCAUGGAGAUUUGUAAUAGGAUGAAGUUCUAUGAUGAGAAAAUGGAGGAUGCCACCAUAGUGGAGAAGAUUUUGCGCUCUAUGAUGCCGAAGUUUGAUCAUGUCGUUUGCAUCAUUGAAGAGUCAAAAGACAUAGAUGAAUUGUCUCUUGAUGAGUUGUAAAACUCUUUAUUUGUGCAUGAGCAGAAGAUGAGUUGUACUUCAGCCUUCAAGAAACAAACUUUGAAGGCUUCUAUUUUUUUUUCAAUUUUAUAGGAUUGCGUAAAGGUUGAGGGAUAUAUUUGGAAAUGUGCCUAUAUUUUAGUAAACAUGUAACUGUUUUUUUAUUUAUUUAAACAGUGAAUUAAUAAAUAAAGUUAAUUUUACAUUUCACUAGUAUGUCUUUUGUAUUUUCUGUCUUUUAUAUUUAAAAUGCAUAGCAAAAUUGUAACAAGCAAAUAUUAGCUCAUUGAUUGUCUAAAGUUCAAACUAAAGAUAAGUGACAUUGUAAAGAACAUUUACAUUGUGAGAAAGAUGACUUAUUUUAGUAGAUAAUCUAAAUGAGUCCUUAAUCUCGUAAAAGAAUCAAAGUGAGCAUUUGAUUUAAAUACUGAGAAGGAUUAUUAUGUCGUCUACAAUUUCAAUUGGGGAUAUGGCUAGUCUUGGCUAUCGAAGCAGUUGACUCCAUUAGUAGAGAAAUAGAUGUAUUCAUUGGUAGAAUGAUACAUUGGAUUGGACCCAAUAUGAAUUAAUUCUGAAUCUAUUUGUGAAUUAAUUCACUUGUGACGUUUAUGGUGUUGUUUAUCCAAAUCUUGAGUUAGUCACGGACCAUACGUAUGUAACCCAUGUGCUUUGAUAUGAGUGGAGGCUUAUGCUCUAAAGAGGAUCGAGCCCAUACUCGGUAUGGUGGGUACAUAACUUGUAUAUGGCAUGACUUUACUAGCAACAGUGGAAUUCAUAGCUCAAUUAAAGAGUUAAUGAUAUCAUCUCAUUGGCAUUGUGUGGUGAAACACCCCUAACCCCUAUUCAUCGCCGAAUUAGGGUUACAGGGAAUUACCAAACAAAGCGUGAUUUACCACAAUCAUUAACUCACCACAGAAUAACUAUACUUUUAUUUUAUUAUCAGAGUUUAAAUAUUCACAGAUCAGUUAAAAGGCUAAUCAUAGCUUACGAAUCAACACUAUUUAAAAAUUUCGAAUUCGAACUUACAUAUAUAAACAAUAGAACAUGUUCCAUGCUUAAUAGUCAAUUCUAGCAACAUAUACUAAACCAUUCAAAACAAACAAUGUUAAAGCUUACCACCAUAAUUGAUUUCGAAUAAUCUAGGCAUAUUCAAUUAUAUAUUUAAUUCAUGUCAACCUACAUUCUUGCUUAAUACUAAAUUUGUGUAAAAACAACCAUUUCAUUUGAGCCAAUUUAAAACAUUCACAUUUCAUAAUCACUACUUAGCUAAUUUAAGCAUAUUACAUCAUUGCAUAUAAAUCAUUCAAUCCAUAAUAAAUUUAUAUAAUAUUAUGACAGAACCUAUUUUAUAUCAACUAGCAUACCCAAAUAUGAAAUAUAACCAUUCCAUAUAUGUCUCAUCACUUUAAUACAUCUUUUAUUCAAAUAUAUUAGAACCUUAUAACCAAUUUUUCUAACUACACCUAAGGCCGAACAUAUACCCACUAUUACAUUUUACUUAUUAAAUCUCUUAAGCAUGUUGCACUUACAAGUAGCGAAAGAGAGGAAAAACAAAUUUUCAACUCAAAUGAGAGAAUAUGAUAUUUAUUGAAUUGAUGAAUAAUUUCAAAUGGUUCUAGCCUUUUAUAGGCUUUAUAAUAGCUAAAAUUAGUAACUCAAAGCUAAAAAUAGCAAAGCCGAAUGAGAGAAAAAUCCUCAAUAAUCUCUAAUUUCUAGGGAUUAUUUACCAAAAAAACUCAACAAUCCUUCCCUUAAACUGAAAGUACACUGAACUUUCAGUUUAAUAAAUACUUACUAUUUGAUGUCAAAGACCAAGUAUUUUCCUGAACUUGACAAAUGAUGCCAACUUGAGAGGUUUAGUAAAUACAUCAACAACUUGAUUCUUACUUCUGCAAUACUUUAGCUCAAUUACUCUUUCAUUGAUAAGAUAUGACAGAAAGUAAUAUUUUACAUCAAUAUGCUUGCUUCUUCCAUGCAACACGAGAUUGUUUAACAACUUGAUGGCUGAGCUGUUAUCACAAAAAAUUAUACUGGCUCUUUCUGGCUUGAAUUGUAGUUGUUCAAGGAUCCUUCUAAGCCAAAUAGCUUGACAAGCACAAGUUGUAGUGUCAAAAAAUAUGACAAUGGAUUGUUUCUUAGAUGACCACGAAAUUUCCCCUGUUCCAAGCAUAAAAACAUAACCUAAAAUGCUAAUUCUGUCAUCUUGAUCUCUUGCAUAAUCACUGCCAGUGAAGCUAAUCAUGUUUGACUUUUCACCCAUCUUGUAGAAAAUCCCAAAUCUUUGGUUCUUUAUAAGUAACGAAGGAUUCUCUUAGUAGCUAGUAAAUGUUUUUCAACCGAGCUCUCUAUGUACCUGCUAAUAAGACUCAUAGAAUACGUAAUGUCAGGCCUCGUAGUAGUUAGAUACAUCAAACUACCUACAAUUUGCUUGUAAAGUAUGCUAUCCGAAUUCUUUAAUAAGUUUUAAGCCAAACUCAGUUGGAGUGUUGGAAGAGUUACAAUUCGUCAUCUUGAAUUUGUCCAAAAUCUCUCUCACAUACUUUUUCUCUUCUUUCAAGUAUCCAUGUAAGAAUGUCGAUUUGAUAUCUAACUGAAAUAUUGACUAAGAGUUCUGCGCUACUAAAGCAAUCACUGUGCAGCCCAAAUUUUACCCGGGCCUAAUAUUCAAAACAGUCCAGAAACCCAAAACCCAAAUAUCCAAACCCAACAACCCAAUAGGCCCAACUGUCUAAACCUAGCCCCAAAAAAAAUCAAAUCAGAAAUAACAAGUCAAACCUUAGGUGCGCCGCAUUUAGGGGUUCCUAGCUCUGCUGGCCGCCACAUCUGCCACUGCCAUUGCCGCCACUGCCACCGCCACUUGCACCUGCAAUAUCAAAAAGGAAAUGACAGCAAGCAAAAAAGAAUAAAAAAUGUAAAAAAUAUGGCUAUAUAGAGGCCAUUUGAACCGAUUGUAAUUUUUUUAUAGGGAAUAAAAAAAGAACUAAAAAAAAAACAACAAAUCAGAGAGAAAAAAACUUGGAAGGUGAUUUUCGUUUUUUCUAUUCUGCUAUUGAGUUCUUUUUCCUUUUCUAUUCAUUUAAUUUAAUUUUUACUUUAUUUUUUUAGUUUUUCUUUAAUCUAAAUUUUUUGAAAUAUAUAUAUAAACUAAUAUUGGUUUUAUUUUAAAAAAAGAGAAAGAAAUCAUACCUUUGAAUAUUUUUGCAACGGCGUACGGCAGACGGUCGCACCAUGGCCAGAGGAAGGGAAAGGUUGUGUGGAAAGAAGGGAAGAGCUUUGAUUUUUUUUAGGGAUAGUGGCAGAAAUGAUUUUUUUAAAAAAAAUUUGGGGCUUAUAUAGGGUGCCCCUUAGCCGCUAAUUGCGUAUUGCAUUUCUCAACCUCCCAAUUUUCCCUCAACUUCGUCUUGUAGAUCCACUUGACACUAAUGGUUUUGUGCCCGUCAAGAAGAUCGGUCAUCUCCUAAAUAUCAUUCCUUUUAAUGGCUUCGAUUUUAGCAUCCAUUGCCUCUUUCUAUUUUACCUCAUUGGUAAUAUUUUCAAACCUUGUUGGGCCACAAUCUGUAAAUAAUACAAAUUGAGCAAUUGCAUCAUCGUUUUCUCUAAUUUUGGUUACGUCAUAAUCUUACAACCAUGCUGGCCUUCUUCGAACAUGACGAAGUGCUUCAGCUAUUGUACUAGUUUCUUCUUCAUAUGCAAAUAAUACUUUAGUGGCUAAUAGAGAAGUAUUCUUGAGCAUUUCUUCAGCUUUAUUAUCACAAAGGACUUGAGUAGGUUGUGCUUCAUCCCAAUCCCAAAUGUUCUCUUCAUGAAAUACAACUCUCGGCUAAUCAAGACUUUCUUUGUCACAAGGUUGAACAAUUUGUAUGCCUUUGAUGUUUCACUAACACCAAGAAAGACACAUCAACAAGCUUCUUCCAUUUCUCCUCUGAGACAUGUGUUUAGGUAAUGCACCUAAAAAUUCUAAAGUGAUCUACCACUGGUCUCCUUCCACUCUAAGCCUUCUCUGGAGUCACAUCUCGAAGAGCAUUAGUAGGGCUCCUAUUCAAGAUGUGGAUGUUCCAAUUUAUAGCUUUUGACCAAAACACCUUUGGAAUUCUCCCUCUUGCUAGUAGGCUUCGAACCAUGUUGAGAAUGGUUUAAUUUUUCCUCUUUGAUACAUCAUUUUUUUUGUAGUGUAUAAGCAUUUGCGAGCUCUCUUUGGAUGCUGUGAACAUCACAAGUCUUCAAAUGCCUUAGAGGAAUAUUCACCACUACGACUAGUUAGAAGAGCUUGAAUGAUUCUUCGUUUUUCAUUUCCUACACUAGCUUUAAAGCUUUUAAAUGCAUUAAAAGCCUUUGAUUUUUCUUGUAAAGGUAAACCCAAGUCUUACAAGAAUAAUAAUCAAUAAAGGUAAUAAAAUUCCAUUAGAAAUUGGAUUUAUUGGCCCACAAAUGUCUGAAUGCACCAACUCUAAUACCUCUUUUACUUUCCAUGACUUACCUUUAGGAAAUUGAGAUUAAUGUGGUUUGCUAGCAACAAAUUCGUUACAAACUAGGGAAGGAAAGAUAAUUGGAGGAAGACUAGUCUCCAUAUUUUUCUUUUUAAGUAUCUUCAAACCACCAAAGUUUAAAUGACUAUAGCAAAAAUACCACAACCAAGAAGGAUUUUUAACUUCUACUAUUAAACAAGAUUGAACAACCUCAAUCUUCAAUGGAAACAACCUAUUCUGACUUAUUUCCAUAAUAGCAACAACUGAUCUAAAUGGAUCAGAAAUCUCACAAGCACCAUUCCUGAGAGUGACAACAUACCCAUUUUCCAACAGUGGCAUCAAAGCCAAGUUUGUUCCUGUUAGCUUAGAAAAGGUUUCACCUAUGGCUUUGGAAAGUAGUUUUGUUCAAGUAGUUAUUCCUUGUUUUGAUGAUCAUUAUGACCAUUGGAGUAUGCUAAUGAAGAAUUUCAUAUGGUCAAAGAAGUAUUGGCUAAUGGUUGAGGCAGGUAUCGAAGAGUCUGCAGAAGGAGAAACUUUAACGAAUGCCCAGAAAGUAAAGUUCGAAGCGAGAACGCUAAAAGAUUUGAAGGUGAAAAAUUAUCUUUUUCAAGCUAUUGAUUGUCCCAUCUUGAAAAUUGUUCUUUGCAAAAAAAUUCCAAGGAUAUAUGAGAUUCCAUGAAGAAAAUGUAUCAAGGCUCUGCUAGAGUGAAACAAUGACAUCUUCAAGCCUUGAGGAGGGGCUUCGAGACUCUAGAGAUAAAAGAAGGGGAAUCUAUCACUAGCAAUUGUGCUAGAACGAUGGAGAUUUGUAAUAGGAUUCAGUUCUAUGACGAGAAGAUGGAGGGUGCCACCAUUGUGGAAAAGAUUUUGUGCUCCAUGAAGCUAAAGUUUGAUCAUGUCGUUUGCAUCAUUGAAGAGUCAAAAGACAUAGAUGAAUUGUCUCUUGAUGAGAUGCAAAACUCUUUAUUUGUGCAUAAGCAGAAGAUGAAUUGUACUUCAGCCUUCAAGGAACAAACUUUGAAGGCUUCUACUUUUUUUUUUCAAUUUUAGAGGAAUGGGUAAAGGUAGAGGUAUAUAUUGUGAAAUGUGCCUAUAUUUUAGUAAACAUGUAACUAUUUUCUAUUUAUUUAAACGGUGAAUUAAUAAAUAAAGUUAAUUUCACAUUUCACUAUUAUGUAUUUUGUAUUUUCUAUCUUUUAUAUUUAAAAUGCAUAGCAAAAUUGUGACAAUCAAAUAUUAGCUCAUUGAUUGUCUAAAGUUCAAACUGAAGAUAAGUGACAUUGUAAAGAACAUUUACAUUGUGAGAAAGACGACUUAUUUUAGUAGAUAAUCUAAAUGAGUCCGUAAUCUCGUAAAAGAAUCAAAGUGGGCAUUUGAUUCAAAUACCGAGAAGGAUUAUUAUGUCGUCUACAAUUUCAAUUGGGGAGAUGGCUAGUCUUGGCUAUCGGAGAAGUUGACUCUAUUAGUAGAGAAAUAGAUGUAUUCAUUGGUAGAAUGAUACAUUGGAUUGGACCCAAUAUGAAUUAAUUCUGAAUCUAUUUGUGAAUUAAUUCACUUGUGAUGUUCAUGGUGUGGUUUAUCAAAAUCUUGAAUUAGUCACUGACCAUGCGUAUGCAACCCAUGUGCUUUGAUAUAAGUAGAGGCUUAUGCUUUAAAGAGGAUCGAGCCCAUAGUCGGUAUUUUGGGUACAUAACUUGUGUAUGGCAUGACUUUACUAGCAACAGUGGAAUUCAUAGCUCAAUUAAAGAGUUAAUGUUAUCAUCUCAUUGGCAUUGUGUGGAUUAAUAAAUAUAGAACAUGGCCACAGGUUGCUUGUUCUCGAAAGAGUAAUUUAUCACAGUCAUUUGUUGACAGUGAUCGUAUUAAUUAUUAAGAAGACACAAUGGUGAAAAUGAGAUAAAAUAAUAUUGUAUUGGGUGAACGGAUUUAACUCAAAGGAACCAAGGAUACCAUAUGAGGGUAACACACACGUAACGAGGUCAUUAGACAAAGUAGUUGGAUGAAUUGUUUUCGUAAAUAGUAUACAAUAAGGAGUUUUCAAUAUUGACACUUCUUAUGGUCUGACUCCUGAUUAAGUAAUUGUGAAUUAUCGAAACAAUGCUUUUGAACAUAAUUGCAAUCACUAGAGCCUAAUUGUAUAUGUCCAAUUGGUCCCUUCGUUAGCUCAACAAAAACUCGAUCAUAUUACAUUUGAAUUAGAAGAAAAUUCUACGACUUUGGAAAUAAUUUAAUUGAGUCAAUUUAUUUAAAUUAGGUGGUCGUGAGAAUUGUUCAACUAGAGAAUUUGAUUAAAGAAUUUUCUUAAAAAAUUAAUUUGGAAAAUCUAAGUGAUUUUUGGGAAAAUUAAUUUUGAUCAAGUAAAAUUAAAUUAAUCAAAUCAAUUAAAAUUAAUAUGAUAUUUUUGAAAAUUAAUUUUCAAUUAAGACAAUUGGUCCAAUGGGUAAUUGAACUUAAAAAUUGGACCUGAGAUCGUGAGCGUGAGAGCCCAAAACCAAGACUAAGACCCAAAAACUAGUCGAACUGGGCCCGAUAUGUGAAACCGGGCCGACAUUUCAAUCGGUGACUAGAUCAAAUUGGUCGGGUCGUCAUUGACCCGGACCGAACCGGCUCAGCGUGCUGUAAGGGUGUCGCUCCUGCAUCACCAGACAUGUAGGUGUUGGUGCCUGCGACGGCAACGUCCUGGUGACUGGCGGCAGUUGGUCAUCGGUGAUUGAGUUAUGGAAGGGUUACACUCCUACUGGGACACUACUAGAGAAUUUGAUUUCAAAUUAACUAUUUCAAAAGUAAUAUUAUUUUAAUAGUUUAACAUUAAAUUUAAUUUAAUACUUAUCUUAAUAGUAUUUUAUUAAUUUAAUAUUAAAGUGAUUAUGUUAAUAUUAAAUUUAAUUUAAUGUUUAGCUUGUAAAUAAAUAUUCUAUUAUUUUAAUAAGAUUUAUAUUAAAUUUAAUCUAAUAUUUAUCUUAAUAAAUAUUAUAUUAUAUUAAUUUAAUUUAAUAUUAAAAUGAUUAAGUUUAAUUAUAGUUGAACUCUCUAAACUCUCCCUAUAUAAAGAGAGCAUUGAGUCAUUAUUUACACACACUUGAGUUCAAGAGAAAGUUGUAGAGAGAAAAUUCUUUGAAGAGAUUAUUCUAAAAAAUUUCUAGAGAUAUUUUUUUUAUUUAUAACUUGACUUAAAAGUUUAGAGAGAUUGCAAAAUUACCCCACUGGUAAUUUUAAGAAAAAUUUUCUAAUUCGAAGCGAGCUCACGCUUGGCAGACAUGAGCUUGAGGAUUGUGGAGAAGGCUACUCGGUCGAAGCGCUAGUCCUAGACGAAUAAAAAAGAUAUGAUUUUGAUUAAGUGUUUAUUACUUUAGAUAUCACAACUUAAAUUUAUUUUUCUCUACGUUUUCCAAACCCGUUUUUCCAACAAUAAGGGGAGAAGUUUGAGGUAAUAGAAAUGGUGGCAACAGAAAUGGUAGCAAGAAUUACAAAAUAAAUGAUGACCAAAGUAAAGAUAAAUGACGAGAUUUUGAUAAAUCUAAAAUAAAAUGCUUCACAAGGCAAAUCAUUUUGAAUGUUAUUCUAGGCUACUAAAUGUUAAGGAUGAAGAAUCACACUGAAAAGGAAGCUGAGCCAAAUGUAUAAUAUGUGGAUAUAGGUUGUAGUAUUUUUUUCGUAUUUAAAUGAUAAUUUUCGUUGUAGAAUCACCUUUGGUGAUUAUUGUACUGUGGAUUUCAUAAUUAAAAUUUCACGUGAAAUUUAACGUUUUCUAAAAACCAUAUAAGAUCCAUCACCGUCAUGACAAAAAGUAAUUCAAUGCACAUUAAUUGUGCCACCCGCUCCAAGCCCAUUGAUUUCACUAUAAAUUCCAUGCUUUUAGGUAAACCAUCUUCACACAAUCAAAUCAAGCUAGUUAGCAAUGGCUUCCACUACCAAUUCCCCAUCAACCCUCCUCACCCUUCCUAAUUUCUCCAUUCAAACUUCAACAUUCCUUCCCAAAACAUCUCAACGUUCCAUAUUUAAGAAGAAAAAGCCUUUCAACUUUAACUCCAAAAGAGUAGUGUCAUGCAAAGCCAGCAAUGGGAAGCAAAACGAUGCAGACACUUCUAAUUUUCUCAAUAGGUUCGAUAGAAGGGACAUCCUUCUUGGCCUUGGAGGAGGUCUCUACGGUGCAACCAGCCUUGUUAGAGACCCAUUCGCAUUGGCAGUCGUCCCAAUCGAGCCUGACCUGUCCAGCUGUGGGGAAUCAACCGUAGAUACCGGUAAAACCUGCAUGAAUGUCCCUUGCUGCCCACCAAAGUUAAAAGAUUCAAAGAUCAUAGACUUCGAACCACCUUUAGGUUGCAAGAUCCGUUAUCGGCCGGCAGCACAUUUAGUUGAUCGUGAUUACCUGUAUAAAUUUGAAUCGGCAAUGGAGAGAAUGAAAGCUCUCCCUGUGGAUGAUCCACGUAAUUUCAUGCAACAAGCCAAUAUUCAUUGUGCCUAUUGCAAUGGGGCUUAUAGUCAAGUGGGGUUCCCCGAUCAAAAACUUGAAGUUCACUACUCGUGGCUUUUUUUCCCAUUCCAUAGGAUGUAUCUGUAUUUCUUCGAGAGGAUAUUGGGCAAGUUGAUUGGUGAUCCAGAUUUCGCAAUGCCAUUUUGGAACUGGGAUUCUCCCUGUGGGAUGACUAUGCCUCAGAUAUAUUUAGACCCUUACUCUCCAUUGUACGAUGAAAACCGCAAUUUGGAGCAUCAGCCUGACGUUUUGGUUAAUCUUAAUGACGGUAAAUCUUUUGUAAAACCAAAAAAAAAAGAUGAUUUUUAUGAAUUAACAAAGAGGGAACAAAUAAAGAGUAAUCUCUAUGUGAUGUAUCAGCAAAUGGUACGGUCCAGCAAGACCGCUUCUUGUUUCCAUGGAGCGGCGUACCUUGGCGGUUGUGCAUCCGAAACCGAUAUCGGUUGUACUCCCGAACCGAGAGGUGGUACCAUUGAGAACGGUGCUCACAUCGCCGUUCACAAGUUCGUUGGUGCCAAGAAUCCACCUUAUAACGAAGACAUGGGGAAUUUCUAUUCUGCUGGUAGAGACCCUUUGUUCUACGCUCAUCAUGGCAAUGUUGAUCGAAUGUGGAACAUUUGGAAGACAUUGCCAGGGAAGAAGCGACGUGAUUUCGACGAAAAUGUUUGGCUCAAUUCUUCGUUUCUUUUCUACGAUGAGAAUGCAAAUAUGGUUCGUGUUAAAGUUCGCGAUUGCCUUGACUCUAAAACUUUGGGGUACGAUUACCAAAGUGUUGAUAUUCCGUGGCUUAGAAGCAAGCCAACAUCUCGAAGGAGUCGUCUUGGUGUGGGGCGGGGUCAGGAUCAGGGUCAGGAUGUAGCAGCCAGACGAAAGAGUAAAAACCGCAGGAGCUUUCCUAUAGUUUUAGACAAGGUGGCCGUGCGCAUUGAGAUUCCAAGGCCAAAGAAACCAAAGAAAAAAGAUGAUGAAGAAGUAUUGGUUCUUCAAAACAUACAGCUAGACAGAAAUGACUCAGUGCAAUUCGAUGUCUCCAUUAAUGACGAUGAAGACGACGACAACCCUUGCAAACCGGAAGAUGCGGAGUUCGUGGGGAGCUUUUCGAAUUUACCGCACGGAGAUAAUUGCCACUCCGAGGCGAUGCUUAGUACAAAUCUGUAUUUGCCAUUAUCAGAAGCGCUGGAGGAUUUGAAGAUUAAUCCAUUUGAAGAUAGCAUUGUGGUGACUUUGGUGCCUAAAGAAGGGGAAGUUUCGAUUGGUAACAUUAAGAUCGACUACGUUUGUUGAUUUGGGGGUGAAUAUUUUGCUUCAUCCUUUGUGUUCUCGCUAGAUCGGAUUGAUGGGGUUCAUUAAUUUGUUUCUUGCAUGUGUCUCUCUUUUUUUUUAAUAAAAAUAUCAAGCUAAAUGAACAAAAGCAGCGGCAGCUUUAUCUUGCUCAAGAAGAUAAUCAACUCCUAAACGCGCCUGAUAUUUUCUGCCUAUCAUCAAUUCAAUCACGAGAUAUUUUAGUUAACAGAGUAACAACUUGAUUUCUUUAACUAUCCAAUACUUCUUGCACUGUAACAUCUAUUUAAUUCGUCCAACCAAAACUAAAUUUGAUACCUCCAAAUAGCCAUCUUGAAUAGCAUUGAAUGCUUCCAAGUAAUCUGUUUAAAUUAAGGCUUUGACAUAUCUUAUAAGAUUAACUCGUCUGAGAUACUCUAGAAUUCAAUAUUAAAGAUUGAACAAACAUCUAAAUUAUGAUUGAACCCGACAAUCCAAUCUUGCCAAAUUUUAUUAUUAAAUUUUACCAUUUACUUUUUGUAUUAUUUAUAAAUUUUAAGUAUAAUGGUUUAUUUGAUCUUUCAGCUUUAUAAAAAAAAUAUCAUUUUAGUUCUUCAUUUAAUUUUGUCUCUUUUUAACCCUUAAAUUUAUGUUGUUUAUCAAAUUGUCCCAAAAUAAAUGAAAAAAUUAAUAUCUAUUAACUUUGUUGACACAUCCACGUGUAUGCCACAUCAACAUUUACUUAAUUCUUUUUACAAAAUUAAAAAGCAUUAAAAUUAUAAAAAAAUAUUAUAAAAUUAUAAGUUUUAUUUAAUAAUAAAAUUAUAAUAAAAUUCUAUAAAUUUUAGAAUUUUUAAAAAUUUUAAUCAAUUAUUGAUGUGACAUACAUGUGGAAUGUCACAUAAACAAAAUUAUUAAGCGUUAAUUUUUCUAUUCAUUAUAAAGUGUUUUGACAAAAAAAACUAGUUUAAUAGUUAAAAGUGGCGAAGAUUAUAUGAAGGGUUAAAAUGACUUUUUUGUUUUCUAAAGUUGGAGGACUAAAUAAAUCAUUAUGCUUAAAUUUUAUCAUAUUUAUAAAUAAAAAUUUUAAUUUUACUAAAAUAUUUUAUUAAAUAUAUUUACUUUAUAAAAAAAUUGUCAUACAUUUAUAAGAAUUUCGAGUCAAUUAAAAUACUUUAAUUAAAUUAUUAUGUUUUCAUUAACCCAAAAAAGUUAUAUUACUUAUUUUUAAAUGAAUUUUUUUAAUUAUUUAUAUGAUAGGUAGCUUUAUAUUUUACAUGCAAUAUUUUAUAAAGAAUACAUUUAUAUAAUCUAAUCUAAUAUAUUAUAAUUAUAUGAAGGCUUGAUUCGUAAAUUGGUAUCUAAGUUAUGUUAUUUUUUUCCAUCUUGGUAUCUAAACUUUUUUUUUUAUCAGUUAUCCUUAAGCUAUUUUUUCCCCAAAUUAGUAUAUCUGUUAGUUAACCCAUUAAAUCUAUUUUUAAAAAAAAAGUUCAACCCACAAAUUAGUACCUAAGCAGUACUCUUUUUCCCAAAUUGGUACCUAAUUUUUUUUUUAUCAUAAGUGAUACCUAAACUAUUCUUCCAUCACCAUUUUACACCAAAAUGUUAUAUUCGUUAAAAAAAUUACAACCAAUUAUAGAUUGUCACUUCAUAUAAACUUUUAAUUGUUUUAACUUUUUUUAUUUAUUUUACAUUAUUUCUCUCUUUAUAUAUUUUAUUUAUUUAUUUUUCUUCUUUUAUAAUGCCUAGUAAUACCAACAAUACUUAAAAUUGAUUCGCUCGAGGUUGAGAUGCCGGUAAUUAAUUGUGUUUUGAAAUUUCACCAUGUUGAUUAUGUGAAUUAUAUUUAAUUUGAGUUGGAAUCACAAUAAAUAAUUAUAUAUAUUUAUGCAAGAAAUUAAGAAUUUUAUAUAGUUCAUGAAUAAUAUAUAAUUCAUAUAAGGCUUAAUCCAACAUUCACCCUUGGGCAUUUCCAGCAUACUUCAACAUCUACACCGUAUGAUCAGUUGGCAGCCCAAUCACUAACUUCUGUCGACGAACAGCCUUACACUCCGCUGCAAACAAUCCCAUCCACUCCAAGCUAGGGGCCAUAAAUCAACCCCAACAAUCGCCCCACACCAUCCUUGAACACUAUUGGAACCCACCAUUGUUUGAAAAGUCAAAUGGGGUGGGCACCAAAAGUAGAAAGUAAUAUUGGUUGGCAAGUUGGGUUAAAAUUUGGCAUGGGAUAAUUGCAAUUUUGGUCCCUAAUUGUAUAGGGACAUUGCAAGUUGAUCCUUGAACCUCAACUAUAAAUAGGCCUAACCAUUGCUUACUUUCUUCAUCCCAUAAUUGCCAUUCUCUACUUAAGGCAUUAUUCUCUCUCUCUAUUUGUAAAUUUCACUUGUAAUUUUUGGAGUGAAAUAUAUUUGGUAGUGCCCGAGGACGUAGGUAAAAUUUGCUGAACCUCGUUAAAAUUCUGGUGUUCUUUAUUAUUUGUUUUGCAUAUUUUGUGAAUGUGAUUGUAGUGAUUUAUUGUGCUAUUAAAUUACGAUAGAGGGAUAUUCUGGCUAGGAAAGACUUGGUAUUUAAGUGAUCUUCGUGAUCUACCUCUCUUUCCUGGGAAUUGAACUUAGUGUGAUUUUUCAGUACAAUAAUUUUACUCUUUCACACGCUUCCGCGCAACAAUUGGUACCAGAGCCAGGUUCGUACUUGGGGAAUACGACCGUUUACGGUACUAUUCACGUAUACAGCACUAUUUACGUAUACGGUACUAUUCACGUAUACAGUACUAUUCACAUAUACGAUACUGUUCACGUAUACAGUAGUUGGGAUUGAGGAGAAAAAUGGCAGCAGCAUCGUCAUCAGCAAGGACUACUGUGACAAAUGCAAAAUUUGAAGUAGAGAAAUUUGACGGUACCAAUAAUUUUGGUAUGUGGCAAUGUGAGAUCCUGGAUGUCUUAUGUCAGCAAGAGCUAGAUAUAGCCCUUGAAGAAAAACCUGACAAGAUGGAUGACAAGGAGUGGGCCAAGAUCAAUAGACAGGCGUGUGGUACAAUCCGCCUAUGUUUGGCCAAAGAGCAGAAAUACUCUGUCAUGAGGGAGACAUCAGCGAAGAAGUUAUGGGAUACACUGGAAGAAAAGUUUCUAACGAAAAGUCUUGAAAAUAGGCUUUAUAUGAAAAAGAAACUUUAUCGAUUCACGUAUGCACCCGGUAUGUCGAUGAAUGACCAUGUGAACUCAUUCAAUAAAAUUUUAGCAGACUUGCUAAAUUUGGAUGAGAAAUUUGAAGAUGAAGACAAGGCAUUAUUGUUGUUGAAUUCCCUUCCUGAUGAAUAUGAUCAUCUUACCACCACAUUGCUUCAUGGGAAGGACACGAUCACAUUUGAUGCAGUCUGUAGUGCGUUGUAUAGAUCUGAGACUCGAAAGAAAGAUAAAAGAGAUCACAGAGAUACAACCGCAGAAGUCUUAACAGUAAGAGGUCGUUCACACAGCAGCAAAUCUGGUAGAAGGGGAAAGUCCAAAGGGAGACCCGCCAAAGAUGAAUGUGCCUUUUGCCUUGAAAAAGGGCAUUGGAAAAAGAAUUGUCCUAAGCUACAAAAGGGCAAGGCUAUUUCUAAUGCAUGUGUAGCGGAGCAUGAUGAGGAGUCAGACUUUAGCUUGGUUGGCAUGGCAAUGGCAUGUCAAACGGAUGAGUGGAUUUUGGAUUCAGGAUGUACUUACCAUAUGUGUCCUAAUAAGGACUGGUUUUCUAGUCUUAAAGAGCUAGAAUGUGGAAUUGUUCUUAUGGGCAAUGAUAGUGCUUGUAAGACAAUGGGAGUGGGUACAGUCCAAUUGAAGAAUCACGACGGCUCAAUCCAAGUCUUGACAGAUGUUCGCUACGUACCUAGCCUGAAGAAAAAUCUCAUCUCAUUAGGUGCCCUAGAAUCUAAAGGGCUCACAAUCACUUUGAGAGAUGGAUUACUAAAAGUAGUAGUUGGGAAACUGACGGUGAUGAAAGGCAUAAGAAGAAAUAACUUGUAUUUUUUAAAUAGAAGUACAGUUAUUGGAUCAACAUCAACAGUUUCUACAAAAGAUGUAGAUUCAGAGGCUACCAGAUUAUGGCAUAUGCGAUUGGGACAUGCUGGUGAAAAAGCUUUGCAGACAUUGGCGAAGCAAGGCUUAUUGAAAGGUGCAAAUUCUUGCAAAAUGGAAUUCUGUGAACAUUGUGUUCUGGGCAAGCAGAAGAGGGUAAAAUUUGGUCCAGUAAUUCACAAUACGAAAGGAAUUCUGGACUACGUUCACAGUGAUGUGUGGGGACCUACCAAAGUAGCUUCUUUGGGAGGUAUGCACUAUUUUGUUACUUUUGUUGAUGAUUAUUCAAGAAAAGUAUGGGUGUAUCUAAUGAAAAGAAAAAGUGAAGUUUUGGAUGCAUUUCUGAAAUGGAAAAAGAUGGUGGAGACUCAGACUGGUCGAAAGGUCAAACGACUUCGAUCAGAUAAUGGUACUGAGUACAAAACGAUCCAUUUCUACAAGUAUGCCAAGAUGAGGGCAUUGUGCGACACUUCACUGUUCGGGAUACACCACAGCAAAAUGGGGUGGCAGAACGAAUAAAUCAAACUAUACUGGAGAAAGUUCGAUGUAUGUUGUCCAAUGCUGGAUUGGGCAAAGAAUUUUGGGCUGAGGCAGUUACAUAUGCGUGCCAUCUAAUUAACCGUUUGCCAUCAGCUGCAAUAAAUGGAAAAACUCCUAUGGAGAUGUGGACUGGUAAAUCUGCUACUGAUUAUGAUUCUUUGCAUGUAUUUGGUUCCACUGCAUAUUAUCAUGUAAAAGAAUCUAAGUUAGACCCAAGAGCAAAGAAAGCAUUAUUCUUGGGUAUAACUGAUGGAGUAAAAGGAUAUCGUCUCUGGUGUCCUGAUACAAGGAAGAUUUUUUUCAGUAGAGAUGUGACUUUUGAUGAAUCAACCAUGUUGAAGUACAAGGAUUCACAAAAGGAUGACAAAACCAGUAGUACUUUGCAGCAGGUGGAGCUUGAAAAGGUUAACGAUGAUCCAGCUAAUAUUGAAGGGACAAAUGAUGAAGAGGUUCCUACCCAAGAAACUCUACAGCAACAAGAUUCAAUUGCAUAUAGAAGGCCAAGAAGAGAGAUUCGUAAGCCUGCUCGCUUUGAUGAUAUAGUGGCCUAUGCACUUCCAAUUACAGAUGAUGAUGUUCCUUCUACUUACACAGAAGUAAUAAGUAACCCUGAUGGUGUAAAGUGGAAGCAAGCAAUGAAUGAAGAAAUGCAGUCUCUUCAUAAAAAUAAGACCUGGGAGUUGGUGACACUACCCAAGGGAAAGAAGGCAAUUGGAUGCAAAUGGGUAUAUGCAAAGAAGGAAGGAUUUCCUGAUAAAAAUGAAAUUCGAUACAAGGCUAGAUUAGUAGCAAAGGGUUACGCUCAGAAAGAAGGAAUAGACUACAAUGAAGUGUUUUCUCCAGUUGUGAAGCAUUCGUCUAUUCAGAUUUUGCUAGCCUUGGUUGCGCAAUAUGAUCUUGAACUAGUUCAGCUUGAUGUGAAGACCGCGUUUUUACAUGGUGAUUUGGAAGAGGAAAUCUAUAUGACUCAGACAGAUGGAUUCAAGGUUGUUGGAAAAGAAAAUUGGGUUUGCAAACUGACAAAGUCGCUUUAUGGAUUGAAGCAAUCUCCGAGGCAGUGGUACAAGCGAUUUGAUCAGUUCAUGAAAGGGCAAAGGUACACAAGAAGUAAAUUUGAUCAUUGCGUGUAUUUUCAGAAGCUACAAGAAGGAACUUUCAUAUACUUGCUCUUAUAUGUUGAUGAUAUGCUAAUAGCAUCUAAGAGCAAAGUUGAGAUUGAAAGAUUGAAGACUCAACUCAAUCUCGAGUUUGAGAUGAAAGAUCUAGGAGAAGCUAAAAAGAUUCUCGGCAUAGAAAUAUGGAGAGAUAGAGCUCAUGAUAGAGUUAGCUUGUCUCAGAAGCAGUAUUUGAAAAAGGUACUACAGUAGUUUGGCAUGAACGAGCAAACAAAACCUGUAAGUACCCCGUUGGCUUCUCAUUUCAAGCUUUCUGCACAACUAUCUCCUUCGACGAAUACGGAACGAGAAUACAUGUUGCAAGUUCCGUAUUCUAAUGCAGUGGGUAGCUUGAUGUAUGCAAUGGUGUGUACAAGACCCGACAUUUCACAGGCAGUUAGUAUAGUGAGUAGGUAUAUGCAUAAUCCUGGAAAAGGACAUUGGCAAGCUGUGAAAUGGAUUCUACGGUAUAUUCAGAAGACCGUGGAUGUUGGAUUACUGUUCAAGCAGGAUAAUACACUUGGUAAAGGUGUUAUUGGGUACGCUGAUUCUGACUAUGCCGGUGAUUUAGACAAGCAAAGAUCAACCACCGGUUAUAUGUUUACACUUGCUGGAGGACCAAUAAGUUAGAAGUCUACACUACAGUCUACAGUUGCAUUGUCAACCACAGAAGCCGAGUACAUGGCUGUAACAGAGGCUGUAAAGGAGGCUAUUUGGUUACAAGGUAUGGCUAAAACCUUGGGGUUGGUUCAGGAGCAUAUUAACGUGUAUUGUGAUAGUCAAAGUGCUAUUCAUUUAGCAAAGAAUCAAGUCUAUCAUGCACGUACAAAACAUAUCGACGUACGAUUCCAUUUUGUGCGGGAAAUUAUUGAAGAGGGGAAAAUUUGUCUUCAGAAGAUCGAGACUGCAGAUAAUCCCGCAGAUAUGAUGACCAAGGUGGUAACAAGCAACCAAUUUCGAACAUUGUUUGAACUUGAUUAAUAUCCUGCAAGUUUAACAGUUGAAGAAGGCACUAUCAAGUAUUGUUGUCAAAAGCAGAAAGAAUUGUGUGAAGAUAAGAUUAUCGUAAUCAAAUCUUCAAGGUGGAGAUUAUUGGAACCCACCAUUGUUUGAAAAGUCAAAUGGGGUGGGCACCGAAAGUAGAAAGUAAUAUUGGUUGGCAAGUUGGGUUAAAAGUUGGCAUGGGAUAAUUGCAAUUUUGGUCCUUAAUUGUAUAGGGACAUUGCAAGUUGAUCCUUGAACCUCAACUAUAAAUAGGCCUAACCAUUGCUUACUUUCUUUAUCCCAUAAUUGCCAUUCUCUACUUAAGGCAUUAUUCUCUCUCUCUCUAUUUGUAAAUUUCACUUGUAAUUUUUGGAGUGAAAUAUAUUUGGUAGUGCCCGAGGACGUAGGCAAAAUUUGCUGAACCUCGUUAAAAUUCUGGUGUUCUUUAUUAUUUGUUUUGCAUAUUUUGUGAAUGUGAUUGAAGUGAUUUAUUGUGCUAUUAAAUUACGAUAGAGGGAUAUUCUGGCUAGGAAAGACUUGGUAUUUAAGUGAUCUUCGUGAUCUACCUCUCUUUCCUAGGAAUUGAACUUAGUGUGAUUUUUUAGUACAAUAAUUUUACUCUUUCACACGCUUCCGCGCAACAAACACCCCACUCCAUCCCCCAAGCCUUUCUUCACUCUGAAUACAAUACAUAAAAUAAAAAUAAAGAGACGACUCCUCCAUCUGCAAGGAAAGGAUGUUGCCCCCUUUCAACCAACCGUUCUCAAACCAUGGUUCAUGCCACCAACCAAGCUCACUUACCACCAAUAAUGGCUCUAAUCCAACAAACAGAUCGUAUUUUGCAAAGGAAAAUGAUCUCUUCAGCAAUCCAGUCUUUUCCAUUAAGUAUUAAUUCAUUCCUAGCUAGCCACAAUGACCAUAACAUAGCGCCACAAGCAACAAGCCACUUCCUCUUAACAUUCGAUCUUCCAAACAUGCAGCAACGUACGCAAAAUCACUGACAUUCCAAGGAAUCACCCACAUAUAUAACACCCCACCAUUGAAAAAACAGUCCCUAAGCUUUCCAAGAGGAAGAAAGAAAGAAAAAAAUUAUCACAAUUCUCUUCAGCUUCAUUGCACCAAGAACAAUUAACACAACCAUUAACUGUGGGAAUACCUCGAUUCCUUAAAAAUGCAUUUUGAAGGUAUGCCAUUUUGGAAUAACAACCAUAGGAAGCAUUGCACCUUUGUUGGAACGCAUAGCUUCCAAAUGAAAGAAAACCACACCUUUUGAUGCGCCAAAGAACCUCACAAUCAAGAGAAAACACAACUUCCUUCACAGUACAUUUCCCUUUUCUGUCCACCUCCCACAUCAACUGAUCUGCCUUGUUCUCAUUUAAAGAGACCCCUUUGAAAAUCUACCACAACUCCAUUGCAGACACCCUCUCCUGUUCAAACAAAUCUCUUUUGAAAAAUCUUUCACCCUUGUGAAGUCCAUCCCAAGCCUCGUCCACCGUGAUAUUUUUCUUCAAAGCCAAGAAGAAAGUCUAGGGAAUCUGUCUUUCAAAGCACACAAUCCAAUCCAAUGAUUCAUCCAAAAUGAAACUGAUCUCCUACUGCCGACGCACCAUAUAAAGCUUCCUUCACCUAACAUUUUGUCCAUCCCUUCGUGUCUUCUAACUUCCACAACUCCUUUCCAAGCCUUCGACACUGUUGAGAAUUCACCACAUUAGGCCUCCAACGGUAGUUGCCAAUACCAUAUUUUUCGUCCCAAUUAUUGAUGUGGUGAUUGUCAAUUUAAUUCUUACACAUUAAAAGUACAUAAAAAUAUUUAAAAAAAUAAAAAAUAAAAAUUUUUCUUAUUUCCAAUAAAAAAUCGUAAAAGUUUACUAAAAAUUAUGAAAAAGCAUUAUUUAAAAUUCAAAAUUAAAUAAAAAAUUUAAAAAAUAUAUAAAUUAUUUCAAAAAUUCAAAAAAAAAAGAAAAUAGUAAUAAGGUCUAGACUUAUCCAUAAAUUGGUUUGGACAAAGGUUUUAUGUCUCGAGACCAAACCAAAAUAGAAUUUAAGUAAUCAAAAUAUUUUUAAAUUUAAAUUUGAUUAUAAAAAUUAAUAUAAAAUAUAUGUUUAAUAUUUUAUUAUUUUAAACAAUAAAACAAGUUUUUUAGACGAGCUAAACCUAAAAAAAGCUUAACUGCAAUUUGACCUGAUCAGGCCUAAUAAGAAGCUUCAAUCUUCUAUGGAUGACGACUCAACUAUUAGUAUUAUUGUAAAGGAUAUUAAGGGAAAAAGCAAUAGGUCCGAGAACUUAACUUUUCGAUUUGUACCGUGUCGAUUUAACAACUCUGCACAUGUGAUGUGCUCGUUAGUAUAGGCUAGUCAUAUUCUUGUUCCACGCACUAGAUGGAGGAAACUUUGGUGGCUGUCGAAAACGCUGCGUGUUAAUAUCUAUGGUGAGUUUUCAAUAAACUGAACAAGAACUAUACUGAAUAUGAAGAGAAUGUAUUAAACAAGAAAGAACUCUUUUGUAUUUAGACUAUUAGCUUGAUAUGUACAUUGUAAUCAUGGUAUUUAUAGAACAUAUGAUUAGCUGUUACUACUUAACAACUUAACUAUUUUGAAUAACAAACUAACAGCUAGGCUAGAUGAAUAACACUCUUAACAUUCACCUAUCUUCCCGACAGGUAAAACCCGAAGAAGAUCUCAAAAUCUAGCAAAAGACGAUAUAAAGAGUGGCUUGGUAAGAAUAUCAGCAACCUGUUCACAGGCAGGAACGUCACCAACAAUAAUAGAUCCAUCUGCUACCUUCUCACGAACGAAAAAUAGAUCGAGCUCAAUAUGUUUGAAUUUCAAAUGUAAGACAGGGUUAUCAGCUAGAGCAACAACAUUAGAAUUGUCACGCCAAAUGGUUGGAGGAUCAAUAUUGUGAAGAUGUAACUCUUUUAGUAACGAAACUAACCAAGUAACAUCACUGGUAGCUGCAGUAAGACUCCGAUAUUCAGCGUCAGCCGUAGACCAUGAAACUACCUGUUAUUUCUUGAAACACCAUGAGAUAGGUGUGUAACCAAAAUACACACAAUAUUCCAUUGUAGAGCGUCGAUCAUCAAAAUCGAGCCCCUAGUUAGCAUCUGCAUAGCAAACUAACGAAAGCCGACAUGACGAAGGAAAAACAAUCCUAUAGUCAAGCGUACCACAUAAAUAUCACAGGAUUCGUUUUGAAGCAACCAUAUGAAUAGUAGCAGGCGCAUGCAUGAACUGGCAAACACGAUUCACAGCAUUAGCAAUAUCAGGACGAGUCAAGACCACAUACUGUAAAGCACCUGCAAGACUUUUGUACUCAGUAGGGUUAUCAAGACAAUCUCCGUCAUUCUUGGACAAAGUAGACGAGCUAAUCAUUGGAGUAUGAACACUUUUUGCAUGAGUCAUAAAACUUCUAUCAAGUAAAUCGUGAAUGUACUUCCUCUGAGAAAGAUGAAGACACCCUGUGGAGGAACGAGUGACUUCAAUCCCUAAAAAAUAGUGUAGAUCUCCCAUAUCUUUAAGUGAGAAUUUGUCAUUCAAUCAGACAUACUGCCAGUAAUUAUAAUGUCAUCCACGUAGACAAGCACAUAAAGGAUGGAGUUAGUCGUGACUUCAACAAGCAAAGAUGCAUCAGAUUUGGACAUAGUAAAGCCAACAGAAAGAAGAUAACACUUCAGUUUAUCAAACCAAGCACACGGAGCUUGACGAAGCCCAUAUAAAACUUUCUUCAGACGACAGACUAAAGGCUUGCUAGUUGAGCCAUAUUGAACAUACCCUAGAGGUUGUUGCAUGAAUACCUCGUUAACAAGAUCGCCAUUCAAAAAUGCAUUAUUCACAUCUACCUGACGAAGUUCCCAUCCUCUAGAAACAACAACAUAUAAAAUGACACGAGUAGUAGCAAGUUUUAUCACGGACUGAACGUUUCUUUGAAAUCAUACCCAGGCACUUGAGAACACCCUUUAGCUACUAAGCGAGCCUUUCGACGGGCAAUUGUACCAUAAUGAUUUUUCUUAACUUUGAAAAACCAUUUACAUCCAAUUGCCUUACGAUUAGAUGGUAAUUGAACAAGAUUGCAGGUGGAAUUAGUGAUGAGAGCAUCAUAUUCAACCUAAGCCGCAGCUCGCCAUUCUAUGGUAAAAAGGCUUCUUCAAUCAUGAGGUGCAAGAACUUCAACUAACAAUGCCUUAGCUUAAAAAUGUCAGCCUUAGACCGAGUGACCAUCGGAUGAGUAUUUGCUGGAGGCAAAGAUGAUGACGACGGAGAGAAAGAAGUAUCAGCAAUAGGUACAACAACAGACAGAGUAUCAACAUUAUUGUGUAAAGAAUGUGGCUUAUCUACCUCAGGCUGAGGAUUGGUAGAGAUAGAUGGCGAAGGGAAAAAACCAAUAGGUGAAGAUGAUACACGUGGUAGAACAGAUGAAGACUCCAGAUGCUAAGAAGGAACAACUCGUACAAUUGGAACAAACGUUGACUCAGUACCAGACGAAGCCAUGAAAUCCCUUAUAGCAGGUAAAGGAGCCAAGAACCUUUGUUCAUCAAACACAACAUGACGAGAAAUAACAAUCGUACCAUCCGGCAUAAGACAUUGAUAACCUUUGUGUUGGGGCCUAUAUCCCAAGAAUGUACAGGGUUGAGAACGAAAAUCCAACUUAUGAGACAAAAAUGGUCGUAAGUACAGAAAACAACAACACCCAAAUACUGUUGAUGAUCACACGUGGGAUCUUGUCCAUGAAGAGCCUUAUAAGGAGUCUGGCCAUACAGAACUGAGGUAGGGAGACAAUUGAUGAGAUGAACAGCACAACAAAAUGCAUAACCCUAAUAUUUCAUAGAAAGAUUCGCUUGAGCCAAAAGUGUAAUACCCAUUUCAACAAUAUGCCGAUGUUUGCGUUCAGCCACCUCAUUCUGUUCAGAACUAUGUGGACAAGACAACCGAUGAACUAUCCCUUGAGUUGUUAGAAUAGACGUGAAAGUGCGAAAUUCGCCACCCCAAUCACUCUGAAAUUGUUUGGUAUUUUUCCCGUAUUGAGUUUUGACAAGCUGCUGAAACUAAGCAAAACAAUCGACUACUUGAGACUUUUGGCGAAUAAGAUAAAUCCACGUAAAUCGAGUGCACAUCUCAACAAAGGACACAUAACACCAAUUAUGACCACAUGCAACUGAUGCAGGCCCCAUAGAUUAGAGACAACCAAAGCAAACGGUUCACUAUAGCUUCAUCCAGACUGAGAGGCUGACCGGGUUUCAAAACAGGAACAGCUGUUCCGUGUCCACUAAAGUAGAAGAACAGGACAUCUCCUGGUCUAGCAGUGUGCACCAUUUCAUAAAGUGCAGCCUUAAUUUUUAUACCCGUAGGCAUAGCCCAUGAGCCUGGUAUAUAAUUAUCAGUCAGCACCUUAAUAAACUGUCAAUCAAGGUUAAACCUUUUCAUAAUCAACCUUCUUAUGUUCUCCACAUCAUUUAUGCAUCCUUUCAGGUUGUAAGGGGUCUUUGGGUAAUUACAACCCACAAGAACAGCUUUCUUUUUAUGCACCAGCUUGUUAAUCAUGGGUAAGGCUAAGGGUGUUGGAAUGGUGGCCAAGAAAGCUGUACCAGCAUUCUUAUCACUGCAAUAAAGGCAUAAGGGUGUUGCUCGUGAAAUCCAAGGCUGGUUAUUUCAUCCCUAGCAUUCAUCACAAGCUGUUUAUUGGUUAAUGUACCAUUGGUCUCGUUGAUAAUCUUUUGAAGUGAAUAUAUAAAGGCCCCAUACGCCUUUCCUUGGGUUUUGUCACUCGGUUCCAAAUCAAGGGAUAGCUCAUCGGCUUGGCACCCACUUACUAGAAUCCCCUCAUCCUCCGUUAAUGACCUUGGCUCCUGAGAGGGUCGGAAUUUUAAACUGACGCUGUCUCGAAAGAUUCCGGUCAAAAGAUGGCCAAUGUUGCUGACAAUAUAUAAUCCAGUGCUGAAGGCAACUGUUGUGCCCAAUACGUCUGAUGCGGCGUUUAUGACGUUGGCUGCUGGGCGUCAACAGAUGGCCUUGGUGUAUUGAUUCAAGUGAAAUUCCCCUCUUCUGGGCGUCAACAGAUGGUGCUAUACUCCUUAGAGUACUAUGGGGUCCAAUUUGUUCUUUCUCUUUGACAAUGAGACCACCGCUGUGGCACGAAUCUGAAACGAUUCUGAAGCUUGUUUCUUUUGGCAGCUGCUCAAUCAAGUGCCUGAUGUCCACGUCUGCACAGCCAUGUAUAUUUAUAAAAAAAUGAUAUGAUUAAUAAAGGAAAAUAUGUAGUUGACGAGUUGUGAUCCCAUUUUGGAAUCAUGAUCAACAUUAAUAUUUAAAAAAAACUAAUUAUUAUUUUUUAAGAUUUAAAGUUAGAUUUAUAUUUUGACAUUUAAGGUUGAAUUUUUGAUUUGUUGAAUUUGAGUUUCGGAAAUUAUGAAAUUGUGGGUUCAAACCCUACUAUGUGUACUAUAUUUCUAUUUUUUUAUUCAUAAAAAGAAUAAAAAUGACAAAAAAUUUCUUUAAAUUAAUAUAAUUUACUUUAUAAAAUAAAAUUAUUGUGCAAAUUCCACUAUAAGACACCAUUAAUUAGGAAGAAUAAAAAACCUACCAUAAAUGAGAUUGAGAUCACAAGGCACGAUCGCAUCAUCCUUGCGGCCUGGUUUCAUGUCUGCCUCAACUCCAUGUCCACUGAAGUGGAAUAAUAGGACAUCUCCUUCUUUAGCCUCUUUCACCAUUUUUGCAAGACCAGCCAUAAUGUUUGCACGUGUAGGCAUUUUUGGGGACCCUGGUUCAUCAGUUAUGAGCUCAACAUGUUGAGGAUCAAAGUUAAACCUUUUCAAAAUCACGUCUCUCAUGGCAUGCACAUCAUUUAUGCAUCCUUUCAACUCGUAAGGGGUGUUGGGGUAGUUGCAUCCCACCAGAAGAGCUGUCUUCAUUCUGUCUUUGAGUUUGCUUGUCUUCUGAUUCGGAUGUUGCAGGAAGAACCCAUAUAUAUACACACACAAACUAGUUUACGUUAUACCAUGCAAUGUCAUAAACUCAUAAGCUCACGACAAGUUGGCACCUACAAUAUUUUUAUUUCAAAAUUUAUGGUUGUUAUUUUUUUAGUUAAAUUUAAUCAUUAAUCUUUUAAAUUAUUUUUUUAACAGAAAUGUUUGAUUAGAAUAUUAAUUUUUUUAAUGAUGUUGGCAUGAAAAUUCGUGUGGUAGUCCACAUGUACUUCAUGCUGACAUAAUAUUAUUCGUCAUACAUGCCGCAACAAUAAAUAAUUUAAAAUUUAUUUAAAAAAAUAUUAAAAAAUGUUUAUAUAAAUUUUAAAAAAUAGCAUGAAGUACACAUAGAUUACCAUGCGGGUUGCCAUGUUUAAAUAUAAUGUUUUAGUUAGUAUUUUUAUUAAAAACAUCAAUUCGACUGUUUUUUAAUGAACUUGUCCAUGGGCUGGGGCUUGACAAAAUUUUAGGCCCAUUUGAUAAGUUCAGUCUUAACCCGGCUCGAAAAAUUGGCUUAAAAUUUUAUUCAAGCUCGACCUAAAUAAAAAUGCUAAAACCCGAGCCUGGCUCGGCCUGCCCGUAUUAAAAUUUUUACAUUAUUUUUUAAAAAAAUAUAUAAAACACUAAAAACAUUCAAAUAAAUGUUUCCCAACAACUUGAAAAUAAAAUUUAAAAAAUAUUUAUACUUAAAUAACACUAACAUAGGUGCAACUUACAAAGUAAAUGCCACUAAAAUAAUAACAAAAUUAACAAUAAAAUAAGACUUAUAUAAUAUCCAAACAAUAAUAGCAAAAAAGUAGUCACAUAAUAGUGAAAUGGUAGGAAAACAGUAAGAAAACAACAUAUAUUUUUUUUCUUUUUGUAAAUUCGGGUCGGGAUGGGAAAAAAACACCUUACUUGAGGCCCUUAUCCAAGCCCAUCUUUCGGGUCUAUAUUUUUGUACAAGCCCUCCCACUUUUUGGGAGUCCGGCCUGAUCUAUGAACAUGUCUACUUUUAAAAGGUUGAUAGUUAAAUUUGAUUUUUUUAAAAGAUUAAAAGACCAAACUUAACUAAAAAGGACCAAAUUAAUAAACGAUAUAAUAAUUGCCUAUUUUUAUUUGUUUCUUUUGGUGUCAUGGAUAGAGCAAAUCAAGUGCACCAUUCAAAAAAUUGGGUUUAUAUGUACUAUUAGUUAAUUAGUUGACUAACUUCAAUAAAAAAUAAAAUUAAUUGGUCCAUAAAAAAAAUGUAUUUUUUACAAUUAGAAGUUACAAUAUUAACGAAACAUUAAUACAUUCAUGCUUUACUCAAUAAUUAAUUAAAAUAUUAAAUUAAUAAUCAAAAUAUAUCUAAAUUCGUAAUACAAUGUUUCAUACAAUAAUUACUCAAUCACUAUAUUGCAUUGUUUAAUUGUCGAAACAAGUUAUAACUUCCAUUGUAACAACUCAAAAGAAUAAUUACAAACCAAUGUAUUUUUAGACUUAAAUGUAGAACUAAAGCUUAGUUUGGAUGGACGGUGCGUUUACCUAUGAUUAGUGUAAAAAUAACGGUGGUGGUGAGAUUAGAUAUUGUAACGACACUGUAAUUUGAGACUUGGAUGGACGGUGCGUUUACCUAUGAUUAGUGUAAAAAUAACGGUGGUGGUGAGAUUAGAUAUUGUAACGACACUGUAAUUUGAGACAAAGAUAAAUUAAACGCACUGUACUAUACCAAACCAUCCAUCUAAACCUCACCUAAAAGUUGCUAAAGUUUCCUUCCUACCAUUAAACCAAUGUAUCAUCAACUAUUUGUACUUAUUUUUAAACACUUUUUAUUGGAGUUGCAUGAAAUGCUUGAUUGACUACGUGUAAAUUUAUACACAAAAAACCAAUAAUUUGAAAAGCUUUCCAUAGUACAAUUUUGAUAUAUUUGGCAUUUAAUAAGAAAUCAACAUAUGGAGUGGGUGAUGAAUCCGAAUUGGGGUGAGGACAGGUGUUGUGAUGGACAAAGCGUAAGACAAGGUGGUUCCCGACAGAAGCAAGAAAGCUCUGACAAAAGACCGCUAGGUAUUCCUUUUUCAGACAAAGAAGACAAAAGAUAGAACAUAUAGGGUGGUGGUCGAAGAUAAAUGAUUAUAACAGCACUGAUAUGAUCUGCUUCGCCUUCGUCCACCACCUCAUCUUUAUGUUUUUAUCUUGGUCGUGACUCACGUUGGCCUUCGUCUGCAAGUGCUGUCUAUCGUGAUUGUGUUGCCUAGCUUCUGAGUUCUAUGUAUUAAGGUCUAUUUGAAUGUGCGGUUUGCAGAGGUAAAAUUAGAAAAUUGUUUUUAAGUGUUAAAGUUAAAUUAUGUACCUAUAUGGAUUUGAUGGUAUAUAUUCCUCCUCCAGUGGAUCCAGCACCAUUAACCCAUCUACGUAGUGAGGAUAUGGAAUUUGAGACUCACAUCUUUAUAUAUACACACUAAUUUACAGCAAGUGUACUGACCAUAAGGACGACGACAUGUAGGUAGGUAGGUAGGUAGGCAGAUACAAACACUUUUGUUUGUCUUUUGUGUUUUGGAAAAUGCAUGCGGAAUCCAUGCAUAUGCAAACAUUUUGUGCAAGGAAUUUGCACAUCAGUACUGCAUAAAAGAGUGACUCUGGAGUUAUGGAAUUAUUUGAUAAUAUUGAAUACGAAAUAAAUUUAAAAUAAAAGAGUGGGUGAUUAAUCCGAAUCGGGGUGAGGACAGGUGUUGUGAUGGACAAAGCGUAAGACAAGGUGGUUCUCGACAGAAGCAAGAAAGCUCUGACAAAAGACAGCUAGGUAUUCCUUUUGCAGACAAAUUAAGAAGACAAAAGAUAGAAAAUAUAGGGUGGUGGUCGAAGAUAAAUGAUUAUAACAGCACUGAUAUGAUCUGCUACGCUUCGUCCACCACCUCAUCUUUAUGUUUAUAUCUUGGUCGUGACUCACGUUGGCCUUCGUCUGCAAGUGCUGUCGGUCCUACCAUUGUUCUUGUGUUGCCUAGCUUCUGAUUUCUAUGUAUUAGGGCACAUUUGAAUCGGGUUGAAGUUAGAAAAAUAUUUUUAAGGAUUGAAGUUAAAUUAUAAAUUUUUAUAAGAGUUAAAAUUUAAUUUUAUAAUUAUAUUAAUUUAUAUUUUUAUAAUUUUUAGAGGUCUUAAAUCAAAAUUUUAUUAUUAUUUUGGAUAAAUUGUGAUUUUACAAUAUUUAACUUAUAAUUUUAUAAAAUUUAGAAAGGCCUAAAUUAUAAUUUUCCAUUUUAGGGGUUCAAAAAGUAAUUUUCAUUUUAAAGGGGCCAUUUCCCCUUGCCUGCUCCGGUCACUGCCUUUACGAUGAGAUUUUUAACAGUCCGAUUUUGAGUCAAAUUAGAACAGCAGUUUUGAGACCACAAAUCUGACGAGAAAAAAUUAAUUUUAAAAUACAACAUGAGUUGCAUUAUGAUAGGAAAGUUGCAUGAAAAUAUUGAUAUAAAAAUUUUAUCGAUUUAGUGAUUAAUUAAGAAAAGGACCUAUUGUGUGUAGUCUGCUACCCUGGCACGUUUCUGUCUGCCGCAUUUGGCAUGAUAUUUUUAGGUUUUUCGUAGAUUGCUUUUGUUCUUUUUUCUUGAAAUCGACUUGAACACAAUUUUGCUCAGACGAUAGGGAGGAAGGGAGAGUUUUUCUGAACAUCAAUUCCUGCAAUCAUGGAAACAGAAUUAGUACAAUUGUCGCUCAAUGAAGAAGAGGAAAUUUUACAGAUCCAGACUGAUCCAUGCAUGCAAAAAGAACGUGAAGAUUUUCAGCUUGUAGGUUGUUUUUUAACAGCAAGCAUAAUACACUUUGCAGCUAUGAGAAGCACCAUGGCAAAUUUGUGGCACCCUGUCUGUGGAGUACAAAUUCGAGAUCUGGGAGAAAAAAGGUACCUUUUUAAAUUUUUUCGCAGUAUGAAUUUGGUAAAAGUUCUGAAGGGUUUACCGUGGACUUUUAAUAAUCAUUUAUUAAUACUCUGCAAACUGAGAAGGGGAGAAACUUGGCGAGUUAGCUGAAGCAACCAGAAAUGAAGAGACAGAUGAAUUGAUUGAUACAAAAAUAAACUUGAAUUUUGAUAUUGAGAAGGACGAAUGCUAUUGGGAACAGAGAGCUAGAUUUAACUGGUUGAAAUUAGAGGACAAAAAUACUGCUUUCUUUCAUAGCCAAGCUUCACAACGGAGAAAAAAGAAUCUCAUUCAUACGCUGAAAGAUGAAGAGGGUAGAGAAAUGGAGCUCAUUCAAGACAUUGAGGGUGUGGCUAAGUCUUUAUUUUCAGAAUUUAUUUUCGGCAAGAGAAAAUGGGAAUUAUGAUCAUAUUCUAUCAGGGAUAGAACGCUGCAUUCAUGCGGAUGACAACCGAAAUCUUACAGAACCAUAUUCCAGAGAGGAAAUUAGAGAAGCUGUUUUUGAAAUGGGACCUACAAAAGCUCCAGUGGAGGAUGGAUUUCCAGCAUUAUUCUAUCAGAAGUGCUGGCAGAUUGUUGGGGAUGACGUCCUAGCUUUUGUCUACAAAUUUUAAACGGAAAUAUGUAGGUUAUUCCAAUAAAUUCCACAAAUAUAGUGCUUAUUCCAAAAGUCAGCAAUCCAUCAACUAUGAUGCAAUUUAGGCCAAUUAGUCUAUGCAAUUUACUUUACAAAAUUAUUGCGAAGGUACUUGCAAACAGAUUUCGAAGUGUUAUUGGCAAAUGUAUUGAUGAAGCGCAAAGUGCUUUUGUGCCAGGCAGGUUAAUAUCAGAUAAUGUAUUACUCACUUACGAAAGAUUGCACAAGUUAAAUCAAAAGAGAACGGAAAAAAAGAUUUAUGACCGUUAAACUCGAUGAGUAACGCUUAUGACAGGAUAGAAUGAAUACUUAUAGAGGAGUUCAUGAAAAAGAUGGGGUUUGAUUUUAGUUGGGUAAAUGCCAUUAUGAAAUGUGUCACUGUUGCUUAUUCAGUUGUCAUAAAUGGGUACAGAGGAGAUAAAUUUGUACCAACCAGAGGACUUAGACAAGGGUGUACCCAUUAAGCCCGUUUCUAUUCCUGAUAUGUGGUGAAGGAUUAUCGAGCUUGCUGAGGUUAGCAAUGAAGAGAGAUCGUCUCAAAGGAGUACGGGUGAGUAGAUACGGUCCACAGGUAUCUCAUCUUUUAUUUGCUGAUGACUGCAUACUGUUUGGAGAGGCAACUAGGAGGGGUGCAAACAUCAUAAAGGAUAUUUUGUGUGAAUUCAAAGUUUGCUCGGGACAAUGUGUAAAUUUUGAUAAAUCAACGGUAUUCUUUAGUAAAAACACGUUGGAGGAGGAUAGGAGACAAGUGGUUGAUGUGUUGGGGGUACGUAGGACAAGAAAACCUGAACGAUAUCUAGGGCUACCGAAUAUGGUGGGGCGAAAGAAAAAAGAAGCUUUUCAGAGUUUAAAGGAUCGAAUCAAAACACAUAUUGAUAACUGGAGCAACAGAUUUUUAUCACGAGGGAAAGAAAUUUUUAUAAAGGCCAUUUUGCAAGCUAUUCCGACUUAUUCUAUGGCAUGUUUCUUACUGCCGAGAGCUCUUUGUGAUGAAAUGGAGAGUAUUAUAGCAAGAUUCUGGUGGCAAAAAGGAGGGGGCAAAAGGGGAAUUCAUUGGUGCACUUGGAAAAACCUUUGUUCGUUAAAAGAAAAUGGUGGUCUAGGCUUUCGAGAUCUUAGUCAAUUUAAUAUUGCGUUAUUAGCUAAACAAGGUUGGCGUCUCAUUAAUUUCCCAAAUUCUUUAUUAGCCAGAGUUUUGAAAGCUAAAUAUUUUCCACAGUCCAGUUUUUUAAACGCAGAGUUGGGGAAUUUACCUUCAUUUACCUGGAAGAGCAUCUGGGCGGCAAAAGGACUUCUUCAAAGAGGAUUGGGUUGGAGAGUUGGUAAAGGGAGUUGCAUUUCUAUCUGGGAAGACAACUGGAUUCAGGGGAUUGACAAGGUGGCUGAGCUUAAUAGCACAAACAGAAGAGAAUUACAGUUAGUUUCAGACCUCAUUCAAUUCAAGUAGAAAAUGGAAGUCAGACUUAAUUAAAAGUACCUUUCAAGAAGAUACUGCUCGGAAGAUUCUACAAAUUCCUCUGGCAGAGACCGAACAUGAGGAUAUUCAGGUGUGGAGUGGAGAACUAUCUGGUGAGUUUUCAGUACGUAGUGCGUAUAAACUACUACAAGAUGCUUCUACAGCUAAUGACUACUUAUUACAGACCGAAACAAGAAAUUUUUACAAAAAAUUAUGGAGCCUACAAUUGCCUUCAAAAAUUGCAAUUACAAUCUGGAGGAUUUCAUGGGAUAAUAUCCCUCACUUUGGUAAUCUCAGCUUGAGGAGGGUUAGUUCAACUGCCCGCUGUCCACGAUGUUAUUUUGGAGUAGAAGAGAGUCUUCAUGUUUUCCGAGAGUGUCCUUAUACAAGAGAAGUGUGGCAAGCAUUAAACUUAGCAUGGGUCAUGGAGAAUACGAGUCAAAAUACAUGGGAGUGGCUAACUUGGGUUUUCAAGAACAGCAACAAUUACCAGUGUCGGCUUUUCUGCUAUGCGUUAUGGUUGAUAUGGUCCUUUAGAAACAAACUCAUUCACGAGGGCAAAAAUUCAACAGGAAGGGGAUUAGCUCAGAAUAUUCAAAGACAUAUGGUAGAAUAUGAGGGAAUAAAUGCUGAGAAGAAAACUGAGAAAAAAAUUUUCAAGAGUCACAGUAUACAGGAAAACGUACCGAGAAUAUCGAUCAAAUUUGAUGCAGCACUGGAUAGUAGAACCUUCAAAUCAGCGACAGGACUAGUUGGUUGGGAUAUGAGGGGAAAUCUACUGGUGAUAAAAACGGUUAUCCACAGAAAUGUUCCCUCAUCAUUCGCUCAUCAUUCGCAGCAGAGGCAUAUGCAUGUUUAGAAGGCAUGAAAUUAGGGAUUGCUUUAGGAUCUCAGUCAAUUAGAAUUAUGGGAGACUCAAAAACCUUCAUAAAGAAGAGCAAGGCGAUGUCAACAGAUAAAUCGGUAAUAGGUGCAUUAUUAAAGAUAUUCAGAACAAGAAAUCCUUUUUUCAAGAUCUUACUUUAAAGCACAUACAUAGAUCAGAGAAUACACAUGCACAUGGUCUAGCAAAGAGAGCUCUCGCGAAAGAAGAAAACAUUUACCUGAUAGGAGAAGAACUGGACCGCCACAUUUCAACCUUGGAUGAAGAUUGGCAAAGAAAUCCGGAUUGAAGAAAUGGGUGAAGGAGCAGCAUCCAAACAGAUAGCUUAAUGAAGUUUAAAUCUAUGGGGAAGAGCUAUCGACAUAACAGAUGGGACCUUGGAAAUGACUCUUCAAUAGCCUUUAUGGUUUCCAGCUGUUUCUGAUUAAUGACUGGGAGAGGUUUCAUUCGGUAGAUUUUAAUUUCAAUUAAUGCUUUUGUCUUUUUCCUUUUAAUUUUCUAGCUUUUGGAUUGACGUUUCUUGGGGGGUGUAAUUUUAUAUUUGUUUAGGUUGAAAAUUAGAUUGGUUCUUUUCUGUUUGGUGCUUUGACUUAGGCCUUUGAUUUGGGCUGAUUGGAUUAUUAUUAUUAUUUUUUCUUUCAUAAUAAAUACCCAGCCAUUCUAUCAAAAAAAAAAAAAAAAAGGAAAUGACCUAUUUGUAUAAAAUGUAGAAUUUGAAUUCUAGAAGCUAGAAGGGUUAACUAGCUAUGAAAUUAUAGUACCCCGAAAAUUACUAUAGUAAGAAAGUAAUAUAAUAUCUCUGAUAUGGUAAAAUAAGGAAAUAAAGUGAUAAAAAGGGAAAUUGAGUUAUGUCAAUAAUGAAAGGUAUACUAUGACAUAUUAAUUCAAGAAAGGAUUAAAUCGUAAAAGUGAGAAAAGUUUUAUUGCUCAAGAGUAAAUACUCAAAAAUUGAGGGGUUAAAGUGUAAAUAUGAAAAAUUUGAAGGACCAAUAAUGUAAAUAUUUUAAGGGUGGAAUAAUCUAGAAACUAAGGAAAAUGGAUUAAUUAGGACCAAAUUGAAAAGGUAGAGAAUUUUGAGGGACUAAAUUGCAAUUUUACCAAAUCAAGUGAUGACUCAAGGAUGAAAUUUCAAAAGAUUAUAAAGGGCAAAAUGGUCAAUUAGAAGGAGAGAGAAUUCUAGAAGGUAAUGAUAUGUUUGUGAUAUUUUUAAUUAAUUAAUUAGAUAAAUGUUAUUUAAUGAAUAUUUUAUUAAGAGUUUUAGUAUUAUUUUAUUAUUAAAUGAUUAAUAUAAAAGGGAGGAAAGAUGAUGAGAAUGGAUCAUCUUUUUCAUGCAUCUCACGUUGAAGAGAAGGGAAAAAAAAGAAAGUUUUACUUUCUUUAUAAUUUGGUCUUUUUACCAAAAAUUCACCAUUUUCACUUAGAAAUCAAAAGAAUUUCUAUAUCCAUCAAGAGAGAAAGAUAACAAGGAGACUAUGGGGAGCUAGAAUAUCAAGUUAGAUUCAAGAAAUAGAAGCUGGAGGAGGGAGAAAAUCAAGUUAAAGAUUGAAAUCAAUGGCAUAAGUUAAGAACAUCAAUAUUUUUAUAUACUUUUGAGUUUGAUAUUAUUGAAAAAGUAGGAAAUUAAUGUUAAGAUAGAGUUUCAUUAUAUAAGGUUCUAUAUUCUUGUUAUGUUAGUAAAGGGAAAUAAGAGAAAGUGAUGGAAAAUAUUGAAGAGAAAGGAAAGGAAAGUGUUAUAAAUUUAGUUAUCAACAUUUUACACUAAAAUAGUUUUGAGACAGCAGCAGUAGUCUGAAUUUGAAAAUCUACCAAAAAUCGUAUAAAUUGAAUUAGAAGAUGAAAAAAAUAUUAAAUUAAAUCAUAUUGAGUCUAGUUUCUCAUAGAAGAAACGGUGUAAGCAAAGGAAUUGUAAAUUAUGAGAUACAAUAGGUUUUGUGAGAUAAGGUCAGAAUGAUUUCAGGUUCCCCUGUACUGACUUUUGAAAAUCAUAAAAAAUUGGAUAAAAAUAAUUAGAGGCUUAAAUUUAUAUGUUUAAAUCCUUAAUGAGUCUAUUUUCAAUAGAAACAAACGGUAACAUCAUUCAAAUUCUGUAUGAGGAGGUAAUUAAUUUUUAGUGAAGAAGGGUCGGAACUGUCAGACAGCAGAAUAGGGAUGAAUUUAAAGAAUAAACUGUGCUUAUUGGCUAAACCAAAAAUUCAGAAAAUUUUAUGGUAAGAAUAAAUGUGAGUCUAGUUUCAGAUAAAAUUUACGGAUCUUAAUUUGGAGUUCUGUAUCUCAAGAUAUAAAUAAUUUAGUGACUAUGACUCAAGUGAACAGCUUUGAAUGAAUAUAUAUAAGUAAAUGGUGAAAUUAUAGAUAAUGUUACCUAUAAGCAUGUUAUAUACAUUAAGGAUGUGGAAUGGAGAGGAGGAGGAGGAAAAUAUAUGAUUAUUUAACUAGCAUGAUUUUUCAUUAAAAAUGACCAAUUUACAUGUUUUAGGUUUAGGGACUAAAUUGAACAAAUGUGAAACUUUUAGGGUAAAUUUGUAAAAAUGUCAAAAAGUGACCAAAUUGCAUGAAAUGAAUUUUUUUAUUAUUUAAAUUAGUAAAUUGAAUGAAAUAUUAAUUUAGAUCAUGAUUGGGUUGAAAUUCGAGAAAAAAUAGAAAUUUUUCAAAAUGUCAUUGAAUUUUGGUAUUUUUGCAAUUUAGCCUGUUAAGUUCGUAUGAACUAUAUUUUGUAUAAUUUUAAUUGAAGUGAAUGUUAUUUAGUAAUGAAUAUUAUAUAUAUGUGUGUUUUAUUAUUGGAAUUGAAUUAUUAUUGGUAAUAUGUAUUGGUAGAUUAAAAAGUGGAAAGUGAAUUUGAAUUGAAAUGUGAUUAUUGAAUAUAAAUUGAAAUGGUUUGAAUUGAAUUAUUGAAUUAAACUGGAAUAUUGAAAUUGGUGAUGGAUAUGGAUUUUAUUGGAAUUGAAAUUGAGAAAGUGGAAAUUGAUAUGUGAGACUGAUACUGAACUGAAUUAUGGAAAACUGAAUACUGUUAUGUGUACUGCAUUGAACUGUGAAAAUACUGAAGUAACGAAUUACUGCAAUACUGUGAAACUGAUUGAAAUAAGAAAUUUGUAAUUGAUACUAAACUAAGAUGGAAAUUGUACUGAAAGGUAAAUUAAAUACCCUAUUAACUAGUCAGGCUAGUCGGAUAUAGUUGGCAUGCCAUAAGAUAUGGAAGAGUACGGGGUAUUUGCCGGCUUACUGAUCAGGCACUUAUGUGCCGACUACUGUUACUGUUACUGAAUCGGCACUUUUUGUGUCGAAUACUGUUACUGUUACUGUUACCGAUUCGGCACUUUGUGUGUCAAAUACUGUUACCGUUACUGUUACAGAUUCAACACUUUGUGUGUUGAAUACUAUUAUUGUUACUUCUACUGUUACCGUUACUGAUUACUGUUUACUGGUGUGUUUGGUUGGAAUCCGUGUAUCCGUCGAGUCCGAGUCAAGUUUGUUGACACCAUUUUUUUUUAUUGAAAACGGGGUCGACUUGGGUUUUGAAAAUGAAACGGGAGUCGCCACCAAUCCUUUUUUUAUGAGGUGUGAUUGGGUCACCUUGAAAAAUGGUUGUUUUUAAUAAAUGUUUUGAUUUUAUUAAAACAAUGGUUUUGAUCCACGAAAUUUAGAAAACGGGUUCGGGAGUCGGUUACGUACGAGGAAGGAUUAGCACCCUCGUAACGCCCAGAAAUUGGUACCUAGUUGAUUAACUAAUGUCUUGAUGUCGAAAAUUAAAAACUUGGAAAAAUAUUUAAAAAUACGAUCAUUGUAUUAAAACGUUGAAAAGUUUCAGGAAAAGGGGCAUAUUUUACGUUAUUCGAGAAAGAAAUUCAUAUCUAGUAAGUUAGGACACAAUGUCUCGAAUUCUCGAUACGCGAAUGAAAAAUGCUUAUUUAAAAGAUAUUUAACUAUCUUGGAUUAAAAAAUGGAUCAUGACCAGUAAGUUAGGACACGAUCCUUUUUUAAUUCCUGAUAUCGUUUAAAACUUAAGUUUGAAAAUAUUCACGUGUUUAGAUUUAUUGUGAAAAUCGAAACCCAGUAAGUUAGGGCACGACUUUCUCAAAUCUAAAUACAAAAUACUACAUUUAUUAAUUUUUAGAAAAAAAAUCCUCAUCUCGGGAAAGUAACGUGUCAUAUCCAAUGCGUUAGGACACAACAUAUUGAAUUCUCGAUAAUGAGCCUUUUAUUAUUUUAAAAAGAGUAAUCUCGAUUAUUUAGGUUCAACGAAGAAAAUCGGAACCCAAUACGUCAGGGUUCGAUUCUCUCAAGAUCCCAAAUAUCGAGUAUUACUUUUUCUUUUAAAAUUUUCCUUUUCAAGAAUCUGAGUGAAAAUGAAUAUAAUGGAUAAAUAAAUAAGUAAAUAAAUAAAUGAAUAAAUGAAUCAAGCAAAUAAAAUUAAAAAAUGCAAGAAAUGUAUGGAUGUAUACGUGUAUGUAUAUAUAUAUUAUAAGACAUAAUAAGCAAUGUAAAUAAGCAUGCAUGCAUAUAUUUAUGAAAACUAAAAGGUAUGUACAUGGGUAUGUAUACAAAUUACAUACUAUAAACGCAUAAGCAUAUAAAUAUGUAUACACAUACUUAUGAAGAUUAAAAAUAUACACAUAGAUAUAUAUAAUUGCGUAUGUAAAUUAAUUAUAGUAUAAAAAACAUAAGUAUAUAUAUAUAUAAGAAAAAAUAAAAUAUAAAGAUAAAUUUAAUAACCUUUAAAGGUAUACAUAUAUAUGUUACAAAAAUAUGUGCGUGUAUAUAAUAUAUAUAUAACAAACUUUUAGAAAAGAAAGAAAAAUAAAAUAAAUAAAUAAUAAAAAUAAAAAUGAAAGAAAACAUAAAUGAAAUAAGGAUAAUAAUAAUAAUAUUACUAAUAGAAUAAUAAAAUAAUCUAAAGUUUAAAUAUAUAUAUAUGCGUAUAUAUAAGUAAUUAAAAUAAUAAUAAUAGUAAUAAUAAAUAAUAAAAGAUGAUAAUACAUUAAAAUAAUGAAGAAAAUAAUAAAAAUGCUAAAAAGGGGACUAAAUCGAAAUAAAAGCAAACAAUACGGGGCGAAAUCGGAAUAAAAAAAAGAGGGAUUGAUUUGAAUGUGUGAAUAACAUAGAGGGGCUGGAAGGGAAAAUUUCCCUUCUCCACUAAAACGCACAGCUUCAUUGAGGACCAAAUCGAGAGAAAAGUGAAAUUUUGCGGCAAAAUUGAAAAAUAAAAACAAAAUAGGACCCAAUCGUAAACAGCCUCAAAAGUGGAAGGACCAGGAGCACAAAUAACCCCUUUUAUCCAAAAACACGCGGAUCCUUGGCGGUUCGGGUCGGGUCAGUCCAAUCCAUGUUAAAACGAAGUCAUUUUGAGGCUUCCUGAACUCCUUCAAAACGGCGCCGUUUUAAUAUCUUAUAUAAAUCAUUUUUUUCCUUAAAAUUUCAUUUUCUCCCUUUUCCUAAAAAAAACCCUAAAAUUCUCUCAAACCCUCUCCCCAUUUUUCGGGCACUGCCCAGAAGCCAGCGAGAAGAGCCGCCGUCGACGCCGUCGCGCCGGUCGCUGUACACGGUGGCCGAAAAAUCUAAAAAGGUACUUUUUUUCUCUUUUUUAUUCUAUAUGCGUAUAUACAUAUAUAUUUUACACAAAUCAAAAUAAUAAAAAAAUAAAAUAAAUAACAAUGAACAAAAAAAGAUUUGGAAACUAAAACCUUUUCUCCGUUUUUAUUUCUCUUUGUUUUUUGCUUUUUCAAAAGGAAAUCCCCCCUUUUUUACAAACAUAAAGAUCCGUCCCCCCUACAAUCUAUUUUUCAUCGGUUUUUAUACCGAAAAUAAAAUAAAAAACAAAGCCCCCUGUUGCUUGCUGUUGUGGUUUUUCUUUAUUGUUUGCAGGUGGAGUGGGUGGCGAUGGGACAGUGGCGGUGGUGGCAGUGUGGCGGCUAGCAGAGAUGGUGGCAGGGCAAGUGGGGUGCGGCGCUAGGCUAGGCUAGGGUUAGUUCUAGUUUGGGUUAGGCUAGUUGGGUCUGGGUCUGUCAUUGGAUUAAAGUUUGUAAAUGGGUUGUCUUGGUUUGGUUUGUUUUUGCUGGUACGGGCUCGGGCAAAAAUGGGCUUGUACAAAGUUAAUAGGGGUAAAUGAAAUAAAGAUACUGAUAAAACUAAAUCUGAAUGAUAUGACAUAUGUGAAAGGUAAGAAUUAUGAUUCAAGAAACAGAUAAGGAUAAAUUUUAUGAAAUAGAUUUUGAUAAUAUGAAAUGAUGUAAAAAUGAGAAGUGAAAAUGAAAUAAUUUGAAAUAGUGAAAUAAUACUUGAAUUUAAUUGAAUACAAGUUAUUGAAAUAUAUUUAAUGUAUGAAGUGAGCAUUUAAAGACUCUAACUAUAAAUUGAUUAUAAAAGAAUGAAUUGACGAUGGAAAUUGAUGAUGGAUAAAUUAUUAAAAUGGAAUGGGAAAUUGAAACAAAUGUGAAAUAGUUACUGAAAGACUAAUGUUGUAAGGUUUUAGAUAUGAAAUAGAAUAAGUUAUUGAAUUGAGAUGUAUAAAUGAAAUAUAUGAAAUAAUGAUUUUAUGAAAUGGUUAUUGAUGAAAUGCAUGAAAUAAAUACUGAUAUAGUAAGAAGAUAAAUAAGUUAAAAUAAAGAGAAGCUAUGUAAAAAAAAACAUACAUUUGAAAUAAAAUUAAAGUUUAAAUGCAUGAAUAAUAUAUUAAUGGUAAAUUAGUGGAAGAUUUAAUAUAUAUACAUCUGUGUGUGUGUGUGUUGCUUUUGCCUUAAGUAUUUGAAUUAUAGUAAUACCACUGGGUGUAUACUCAGCGUACGGUUUGUUUUCGUGCGCAGAUUAGGUAUAGAAAUUUUUGAAGAGUUGAAUUUGAGAUUACAAGUUUUCAUCUCAUCACAUCUUCAAGCAACAACAGGGUAUGCUUUAAAGUUUUGAUUAGAAUGGCAUGUACUUAGGGAAAAAAAAUAGGUAUGUUCCAAUUUUUAGUUUUUGUGUUCAAAUAUAUUAGAAAUUAGCCAAGAAUUAAUUUGGCACCACAUGUAACAUUCCUAUAUCAGGUUCCUUAAGUCGAACAUGGUAUAGGGGUGUUACAAGAUUAAUUCUAGUGAAGUUGAAAAUAGAUGUGACAGUAAGAUUAACUAUUAUGGUGAUGAGAUUAAAAUCACUGGUGAGAUGUGUGCUAGGAUUUAUGCAUAUAGAUUGUAGAUUUAUAGUAAGAAAGCAAAAUGACCAUUAUGAACAUUAAACUAAAAUUAAACUAAAGUAGUUUGCACCCUUCCGUAUAUUUUUGUACAAAUAAUAUUUUAACGAUAAAAAUAUUAUAUUUCAUAUUUCAUUUAUAAAUCAUGCAUGUCAAAUUUGACGUAAAUUAAAAAUUUCUAACUAUUUAUUUUAUGUAAAAAUACUUUUAACUGGUUAAUAAAUGUUAAUAUAUACAAUAUUUUAGACCGAUAAGAUAGAAAUAUCAAAUCAAUUUGAAAAUUUGCAUGCAUGAAUCAUACAAUAAUAUCGAUAAAUUCAAUGGUUGAAUUGUUAAAUUAAUAAUCAUAUAAAAAUAUAUGGAAGCGUAUAAAAUUACUUUAGUUUCAUACUAGUGUAAGCGGAUCUCUCCCAUUUUAAUAUAUAAAGUUAAUUAUAUAAUUUAAAAUUAUGUAAUUAAUAUUAUUUAUAAAUAUUAUAAGUAUAAAUAUAUUUCUUUAUACGCCUAACAAAUGUAAAGAAAAUCCACAAUCAAGCUAUUUGUUGAGGGGAGGUAUGUAAUUUUUAAUUUUAUGUAAUUAUAUAUACGACCCCUUGUAAAAUGGGAAUCCAGAUGAAUUUAUGCGCCCUGACCCUUCUUAAAACGAUAAAUCUUGUUUUUAGUCUUUUAAAAUUUAUUUUUAAGUUAGUACAUGGUAAAAUUUUACUUUUGCUCUUAAAAAAUGAUAAAAUUUUAAUUAAUCUUUUAAAAAUAAAAAAAGAUAUAAAUUAUUAAAAUGAUAAGAUUUCAUUCUAACUCUCCUAAAGAAUAUAUAAUUCAAUUAUAACUUUUUAAAAAAAUGAAUUUUUGAUUUCAUCCUUAUUUGAACUUCAAAAAUUACUCAAGAAAAAAAAGUUUUGCUGACUAAGGCAACAAACCAAAGAGAAACGAGAUUCACGAAGGGAUGAAGACGAAGUACAAAACCAAAGGGAUAAUCAAAGGAGAAAAGUUGUAUAAAAUAUAUGUGGUAGCGGGGAAGAGAUGCUAAGGGAUUAAUUUAUAUUUUGUUAUUCAAUAUAUAUAUUUAAUUCUUUCACUAUUUAUUGCUAUACAAAUAUUAGAUUUAUUUAAAAAUUAUGCUAUUUGUUUGUCGGAUUAAUCGUAUUUCGGGGCCGGAGCAAUGAACCUAUUUAAAGCGGUUCAUAUUGUCCUAAAAGAUCCCAACAAUGAAUAUUAAUUUUAUUUCCCCACCUAACUACGUACUCUUGGUUGGGUAGGUCCUGGCAGAGAAGUUAUAGACACAGUUUUAUACUUUGCGUCUGGAAUACUUCACUUAAUUUCCUUUGCUAUAUUGAGUUUUGGCGGUAUUUAUCAUGCACUUUGGGACUUAAAGCUCUUGAAUAAUCUUUUUCAUUUUUCGAUUAUGUAUAGAAAGAUAGAAAUAAAAUGACCAUAAUUUUGGAUAUCACUUCAUUUUGCUUGAUACAGGUGUUGUUCUUCUAGUAUAUGAUAUCUGGGCUUAGUUUAAAUUUAAAUAAAAUAAUUUAAUAGUUCGAAUUAAACCAAACUUAAACAAACAUAUUGAUACUAAAUAUAAAUCUAACAUAAACCUAGCGGCCCAUGAAUGCUUUACAUACUAAUAAAAUCAACUAAUAUUUUAUAAAUACUAUUGAAUAUAUAUGAUCAGGUAGUAUAAAUGUUGAUCAAAUAACAUAAAAAUUCAUGUACAUUCUUUACAUAAAGUUAGAACCUUUUGGGCACUGUCUUAAAUCUAUUGACAUCGGUAUUGUUGUUAGUGCAGGAGAAUAUGGGUUCGAGUACACUGAGACAUAUUAUCCUCUUAUUUAAAGGUUGAGAAGAAAUUAUAAAUAAUUCUAAGUAGUAUUUCAAAUUUUAUUAUAUUGGAUGAAUGGUUAUCUUAGAUCACAAGCUAAAUUUUGGGUUUUAUUUAGUAUGAGCUUUGUUAAUAAACUUAUUGCAUUAAUAUUGGGCUAUUUGGUUUAUAAGACUCUUCGACCUUUUUUUUUUUUUAAGAAUAAAAACAAAAUGAGCUCAUUUUUUAUUUUAUUUUUAAGUAUAUUUAUAUAAUAUUGAAUAUAUAAAUAUGUUUUAUUAUUUUGUUAUUAAAUAUUACAAAAAGUUACAAAUAAAUCAACAAAUUACAAAAAACCCUAAGUUUUACAGAUUUUACGAUUUGAUACUUAUGUUCUGAAAUAUUGACUGUUUAAGUGAUGAAUGAAUAUUUGUUACACGUUUUAAGCUUUUAUUUAUUAAAAUUUGCUUUAUUUCUAUGGAUUUUUAAUUAAAUUUGAGGACAAUGCAUAAUAUUAAAUUUAGCUCUUAACAUUUACAUAUUUUAUCAAUUUGGCCUUUGUUAUUGUUUUGAGACAAAUUUUGGCCUUCAACCUUUUAGAAAAGAGUUAAAAUGAUAUAUAUUUUUUAAUGAGAAUACUAAUUAAAAUGUCAAAACUUUAAACACGAUAGCUUGCAUGACAAUUCACGUGCACUCCGAGUUAUUUCUUUUGAAAAUUUAUGAACAUUUUAUAUUUUAUAAUUUUGAUUUUUAUAAUUUUGAAUUGUUUAGCAUGAUUAGACUCUUUUUAAAAAAAAUUAAGAGUAAAAUUUAGCUCAAAAAAAGAAUAAAGGUCAAAUUGAUAAAAAAAUAUAAAAGUUGAAGGUUAAAUUUAUCAUUAUACCAUUUUACAACUAGCUAUAUUUAAGUUGGUACCAUUUUACCGCAUAGGUCUGAAGGUCUGCUCGAAAUUUGAGAGGGUUUGAACAAAAAUAUUAAGCCCAAAAAAUGGGUUUGACCAAAAAUAUUAGGCUCGUUUAAAAUAUAGGCCAGACUCGAACUUGAACAUUUAAGGACCAAGCCCAACUUGACCUGUUUUUAAAUUUAUAAUACUUAUAUUAUGUUAUUUUUAUAUACUAUAUAAGUUAUCUUAUUGAUAAAUAUAAUGAUAACAAAUUUAAAUAUUAAGAAAAAUACGAAAAUUUUUCAAAAUUUAUUUCACUCUUCAAAAUUUUACAUCUUUCAAAAUAAACUGUCCGCUUUAGGUCUUAAACCUUGUAAUAUAUAUAUGAUUCAUUAACAAUUAAAUUAUUAGAGUUAUUUCCAAAAAUUUAAAUAAAAAAUAAACAAAAGAAGAAAUAAAAUUAUAUAAAUAAAAAGCAAGGAUAUAAUAGGAAAGAAAAACUUCAAACGAUUGACACAGACAUAGAGGUGCUCAUGGGCUGGGCCGAGCCCAAAAAAAUUUCGGCCUGCAUCCUAGGCCCGGGCUCGGUCCGAACCGAAAUAUGGGCCUGAAAUUUUGUCCAGGCCUGACUCGAAAAAAAAUUCCUAAGUCCGAGCCCGACCUGGGCCAAAAAAGUGGUGCUCGAGGCCCGGCCUAUUUUCUAAACGGGCCUUAUUUUUUGCCCAAAUCUAUAUUUUGAGCCUAUAUUUUUACCCGAAUCCUCUUAUAUUUUGGACGGGCUGUCGGGCUGAGCCGAACCACCCGACCCAUGAGCACCUCUACACAAACAGUACCAUUGACAAUAACACUAAACACUGUUACUCAAAGGAAGCUCCAGUACGUUUGAAAUCAAAGCAAGGGUAAAUGUUGGUUCAUUUCCACCCUUGUGGGGGUGUUUUCAAAUCUAAUUUUAUAUUUUUAUACAAAAAUAAAAUAUAUAUACAUAAUAAAAUUUAAACUUAAAUCUUUAUCAUUUUCAUCAUUUAUAUUUUAUCGCAUAAUCAAAUUCUCAUUCAUUAUUUAUAACAAUUUUUUAUAAAUAUAUUUAUUACGUAAUUCUAUUUUUUAUAUUUUUCAUUUUUCUAUAAUUUUAAAAAAGAAAAUGAAAUUUAUGAUUCAUACAAAAAAAUAAAAAUAAAAAAUAAAAAACAAAAGUACUCCAAAGUUGUAUUACUCGAAAUUAUGAUUCCAACAGUGUUAUAAUCAAUACCUCUGACUCGACGAUGGUGUCGAAGCGUCAGGGGUUAGACGAAGGUAUUGAUUAACUUUGUUGUGGUGCAGAUGAUGAGCAUAAAUACUGAAUUAAUUGCAAUUAAUUGUACGUAUACGGAGCUGUUUAUGGGUAGGGUAGUUGUUACCGACGAAUUAAUUAUAAUAUAUAUUAGAAAUUACAAAUUUAGAGUAUAAAUAUAUGUUUAGAAAUAACUUAUAAUAAAUAAUUAAACGUAUUAUUUAAAAUUAAUUAAUAAUGACACAUGAAAUAUGUAUGCUAUUAAAAUAAAAAAAAAUAGAUUAAUUUGUUUAUCAUAGUUGUUAGAGUUUGUGUGACUUGAAUCCUGUCACUUGUUUGACCUCUUGCCCCCAUAGAUUCUCAUUAAGCAUAAAACUAGACUGGGGUUGCUACCAGGAGUGCGUGACUCCCCGCGGUAUGAACCAUGCCGCACAAGUAGAAUAUGUCACAUCCCAAAAACUGGGUUAGAAGAAAUCGCGUUAGUAAAACCAAUAGUGGUUACGUCCUGCUUUUGAGUUAAGGUUGUGGAAAUUCUGUAAAGUGAAUUUUUUUGGUUCAAUGGUUAAGAGAUUGUGUAAUGACUCAAAUUUAAGGUUAUCGGAAUAGUAGUUUCGUAACCACAAAUUCGAUUUAAAGAGAAAUUUAUUUUAAUAUUUUUGCAUGAAUAUUGGUAUGAUAGGAAAACGUAUGAAAAUAUUGAUAGAAAAAUUUUACUGAUUUAGUGGUUAGUUAGAAAAAGAAAUUAUUGAAGAAAUUGGGUAAAAAUAAGGUAUUGAGACCUCAAUCUCGUAAAAAUGAGUCAAAAAUAUUUUUAUAAAUAUUUAUGAAGUGUUAGUAACAUGGUAUUAAAAUUUCGUUAGAAAAUUUUAAUGUUUGGGUAGUCAAUUAAGUGAAAAGGACUAAAUUGAAAGACUUAAAAGUUACUAGAAGGAUUAAAUAGCUCAAUUGUUAAAUGAGGAGGGACAUAAAUUGAAAAUAAGCCCAAAAGGAGAUAUUUUGGGUGGCAUAAGCUGAGAAAAAUCGGGAGAAUUGGAGAAUUAAGGGUAAAAUUAGAAUAUUGCAAAAUUUACUUUAAAAGUUAGGACUAAAGUGGAAUUAUCUAGAUUUCUCUUUAUUUUUCUGCAUUCUCAUCAGCCAAAAACAUUCUAAGGGUUUAUUAAAGCUGGUUUUUCAUAAUUUUUGCACCAAGUGAGUUAAUCCUUUCCUUUUUCUUGUAAUUUUUGUGUUUCUAAGACUUUUACAACUAGGUCCUAUUACUACAUUCAUUAGUUUUUGAUUUUAUGAAUGAAUUUGAAAGUUUCUAUGAAUAUUUUCUGGAAGUUUAUGAUGAAAUAGGAUGAAAUUUAAGCUUUAAUCUGUUUAUGAGAUGAUUUUAUUAGGUAAUUUCAAUAGAAAUUGAUUUGUAGGACCUAAUUGUGAAAAAGUUUGGAAUUAAAGUCUAGUGCUAAAAUUCUGAUUUCCAAAGGUUAUAAAGUAGUUUAAAGUGAUAGAAUAAAGUGUUGAUUGAGAAAAAUCAGCUCAAUUGAGAGGUUAAUUGAGCAGGGAUGAAAUUAACAUUUAUUGAAAGCUUAGGGAAAAAUGGUAAUUAACAUCAUGCACUAAAACAGUUUUGGACAGCAGCAGUAGUCUAACUUUGAAAAAUCACCAAAAAUUUUAUAAAUUUAAUUAGAGGAUGAAUAAAAUAUGAAAUUAAAGCUUAUUGAGUCUAGUUUCUUAUAAAAGAAACUGUGUAAGCAAUGAAAUUGUAAAUCAUGAGAUAUAAUAGAUUUUGUGAGACAAGGUCAGAAUGAAUUCGGGUUCCCCUGUUCUGACUUUGGAAAAUCAUUAAAAAUUGUAAAAAAAUUAUUAUGAGUUAUAAUAUAUAUUCUUAGAAUACUUAAUGAGUCUAUUUUCAAAAAAAAAAACAAGCGAGAACAUCAUCCAAAUUUUUUACAAUGAGAUAAUUAAUUUUUAGUGAAGAGAGGUCGGAACUGUCAAACAGUGAAACAGGGGAAAUUUUAGAGAAUAAACUGUACUUAUUGGCUAAACCAAAAAUUCUGAAAAUUUUAUGGUAAGAAGAUAUGUGAGUCUAGUUUCAGGAAAAAUUAACGGAUCUUAGUUUGGAGUUCCGUAGCUCAAGAUAUAAAUAAUUUAGUGACAUGACUCAGUGAGACAGCUUUGAAUGCACUAUAAAUAAUAAUGAAAUUAUAGAGAAUGUUACAUAUGAACAUGAAAUGUAUUAGAUUAAUGAUUAAAUUUAUUUAUUUAGAUCCAGAAAAUUCAAAUACAAAGAUAGAUCGAGGAAAAGAAAAAGUUCGGGAUUAGUAGAUUUUUGUUUACCAACAAGUAUCGAGGGAAGUUCGUGUAACUUGAAUUAUAUUCUUAAAUGUUUGAAAUGUUUGUUAUUGAUGUGAAAGUGAGUUGAAUGUUUAUUGUAUGAUAAUUGAUGAAGUAUUGAUAUUCUUGAUGAAAAGAGGAAAUAAAUCCCGGUUGAAUGAAGGAAAAAUUUGAUGGAUCUCUGAAAAGGAAUUGACAGUAAAAAGGAUCCAGCCCGGAUGAGUGAUCCUAUCCUGAUAUAGCCCUCCCGAAGAAUAUGUGGAAAAUGGAUUUAGCCCGGACUGGUAAUCCGAAUUAGGGUCUGAAUUUAGCUUGGACUGGUAAUUCAGAUCCAAGCUCAUUAGAGUAAUUGUCGUUGCAGGGGAUUUAGCCUGGACUGGUAAUCUUGACAAUACUCUAUGAGUUUAUAUUACAGGGGAUUUAGCCUGGACUGGUAAUCCCGCUGUAAGGAUGAGGUUCGCGGGAGUGUGCUUUCUGAAAUGGAAAUGUGCUACAUGAAUAUGAAUUGACGGACCUGGAUUUGUACACUUAGGUGUACCCCUAAAAAUCCAUCGAAAUUCCGAGAAGUUCAACGGGAUAAAUAUGGAAAAAUAACAAGGAAAUGGAAAUAAUGAAAUUGAUGAGCUCAUCAAUCAUGAUAUAUAUAUUAUUGAUACAUGAAAAUUAUUGGACUAAUUUGAAUGUUGAGUUUGUGCAUGAUAGGGGAAUAAUGUAUUGAAUGGAUGUAUGAAUGUUUAUUGCAUUGUAUUGAAAAUAUUAAGUAAGUAUAAUUCUUGUUACAUGAGCUUACUAAGCACAAAGUGCUUACCCUGUUUCCUUUUCCCCUAUUUUGUAGUGUUAAGAGCUCAGAGGUCGGAUUUGGUUGGAGACGCAUCACACUAUCAACCUUAAGAUCUCGGUAUAUAAAGAAACUUUAUUUUGGAAAUCAAUGGCAUGUAGAAGCUAGUAAAGUAGAUGUUAAUGUGAAAUGAAUGUAUAGUUAGCCAUUGGUAUGACUAACAGAUUUUGGUUUUGGUAUGUGAUGAGAUUAUCUUAUGAAUAUGAUAAAUCUAUCUUGAAAAUAUAUUGAAAUGGAUUGGUCUCGGUUUAAAAUUUGCAGGGAAGAUUAGAUAUUUAUAAAGGGGUUAUAUUGAGUUUUUUAAAAAAAAUAAUAUUUAUUCGGUAAAAUAUGGUAAUGGCCCAUACUCUAUUUCGGCGACGAAUACGGGUAGGGGGUAUUACAGAUUGUGCUUGUGUGACAGAGGUUCUAGGUUCACAUAUUUUCCCCUUGUAUUUUUUCCAAUUUUGUCUAAACCUUUAGCUUUGGGUAUCUGGCAGGCAUGACCUUGGGGGUUGUCUGGAGGUGCAGCACAUAGGGCCCAAGGCGGAAAGGGGUCCAAAAUAUUAUUUCUCAAUUUUUAAGGGGCCUAAAAAAACUUUUUUUAGCUUUAAAGGGCUCAAAAAUUUUUUAUCAACUUUUAAGGGACCUAAAUUUUUUUCUCUCCAACUUUUAAGGAACCUAAAGCACUAUUUUAUUAUUUUGCCUAGGGCCCCAAAAAUGUCAAGAAUGGGCCUAGUAUCUGGUUUAAGAAAUAUUUGUGUGCAUUUGUUGACAAGAAUGAAUUUGUUAGUCUAAUGGUAAAGUGUUAGUUAACCCUUAGGUCCUAUGUUCGAACCGUUGUGUGCAAAUUCUUGUUUUGAACUUUGGGGAAAAUCUAGUAAGGAUAACUAAUGAAAUUUAGUGGGGUUAUGGGUGGUUUAAUUGAAUUUUUUUAAAAAUGAUUCCCCAAAAACUCUCGCACUUCCUUUCCACGUUCUCACAUUCUUCCCUCCCUCUUUCUCUAUCGUUCCACUUUUAUUAUUUCUGUCAAUUUCUUCUUUCUAUUUGUUUUCCUCUAUUUCUCCCUUUUUUUUUGCCUUCUGUUCUAUUUUGUUUGUUAUAAUAUUAAUGUCAAUUUUUCUUAAGAAUAUUAUUCCAACAAAACAAAAAUAGUUUAUCAAAAUAAGUUUGAAUGGGUUUUUUUUUAAGAAUAAAUCUUCAUUAACAUUUUAACUGAAAUAGUAAAGAGACCAAAUUUUGUUAAAAAAAGUAUAAGAAUUAAAUAUCAAAUUUAUACAUACUAAGGGAUCAAAAACAAAAUAUGGUUGAAGGCUCUCUAUACUUAAAAAUAAACUAUACCAAAUAAAAGUAUUGGGAUUAAAUCUCUUAAGCAUGUUGCACUCACAAGUAGCGAAAGAGAGGAAAAACAAGCUUUCAACUCAAAUGAGAGAAUAUGAUAUUUAUUGAAUUGAUGAAUAAUUUCAAAUGGUUCUAGCCUUUUAUAAGCUUUAUAAUAGCUAAAAUUAGUAACUCAAAGCUAAAAAUAGCAAAGUCGAAUGAGAGAAAAAUCCUCAAUAAUCUCUAAUUUCUAGGGAUUAUUUACCAAAAUAAUCUCAACAAUCCCUCCCUUAAACUGAAAGUACAAUGAACUUUCAGUUUAAUAAAUACUUACUAGCUACUUGAUGUCAAAGACCUAGUAUUUUCCUGAACUUGAUAAAUGAUGCCAACUUGAGAGGCUUAGUAAAUACAUCAUCAACUUAAUUCUCACUUCAGCAAUACUUUAGCUCAAUUGCUCUUUCAUUGCUGAGAUAUGACAGAAAGUAAUAUUUUACAUCAAUAUGCUUGCUUCUUCCAUGCAACACGAGAUUUUUUGACAACUUGAUGGCUGAGUUGUUAUCACAAAAAAAAUAUAGCGGCUUUUUCUGGUUUGAAUUGUAGUUGUUCAAGGAUUCUCCUAAGCCAAAUAGCUUGACAAGCACAAGUUGUAGUGUCAAAAAAUAUGACAAUGGAUUGUUUCUUAGAUGACCAUAAAAUAGCCCCUGUUCCAAGCAUAAAAACAUAACCUAAAAUGAUCAUUCUGUCAUCUUGAUCUCUUGCAUAAUCACUGCCAGUGAAGCCAAUCAUGUUUGACUUUUCACCCUUAUUGUAGAAAAUCCCAAAUCUUUGGUUCCUUAUAAGUAACGAAGUAUUCUCUUAGCAGCUAAUAAAUGUUUUUUGUAACACCUCUUACUCGAGACCGUUGCCGGACUCGAGCACGAGGCAUUACUUAACUUAUCGUACUAAUUCGGAGCAUAAAAAUUUACUUUGCAUAUUAAUUUCACUAUUUACAGCAAAGCUGUCCAAUCGCGUAGCAGUUACUAAAUUAACUAUAACUCAAGCUAAAGAACUCGAAAUUUAACUCCGUAAAUUUUCCCUGAAACUAAAAUCAUAUAUAUAUUUUCCAUAAAAUUUUUAGAAUUUUUGGUUCAGCAAAUUAGUACAUUUUAUUAGUUAAAGUCUCCCUGUUUCACCAUUUGACUGUUCUGACCUCUUGUUACUAAAAAUAAGUUUUCUCAUUAUAGGAUUUUCAUAUUCUAUCCCCACUUGUUCCUACAGAAAAUAGACUCAUUAAGGAAUCUAAUAAUGUAAAUUUCAACUCAUAAACAUUUUUGUACAAUUUUUAAUGAUUUUCUAAACUCAAAACAGGGGACUCUAAAAAACAGUUCUGACCCUAUCUUACUAAAAUUCACAUAUCUUAAAAUAUAAAUUUCCUUUUGCUACACCGUUAUUUUUACAUGAAAAUAGACUCAACAAGAUUUAAUUCCACAUAUCAUUCACCCUCUAAUCCAUUUUAUACCAUCCUAGGUGAUUUUUCAAAGUCACAUCACAGUGCUACCUGAAUUCUGUUUCUUUGCAAAAAUUUAUCCUUUCAUGAUUUCCAUGCAUAAUUUAUCACCUAGACUUUCAUAACAACAAACACCUUCAUACUUAACCCUUUUAAUGAUCAUACAUCAUCAAAUGCUUACACAUCAUUCAUUAGCAAAAUCAUAAUCACAAACAUACAAAAUAACUAAAUCCCUAUACAUGCCAUAACUCAAACGUGUUUCAUCAUAAAAUACCGAGCAAUUGUGGUUGAUAGUGUGGACGAUCUCCGACUUCUUUAGGAUCCUUGAAGUAGCUUGCAAUACUAUACGAGGAAGAGAAAUAAAAGAAGUAAGCAUAAAGCUUAGUAAGUUUACUAGCAAAUAAAUAACAACAUUAAACACAAAUAAUUAAACUCAAGUGUCCAUAUCUCUAGUUUACUUUUUAGUUAAUCUCAUUCUAGUUCUCUUGCUUAUUUACUUGGAAUACUUGUGUACAUAACUUACUCUUCUCUUGCUGCAUCGUUGAAUACCAAUUGAUAAUAUAAUAAGUUUUUAGCUCUUAUAACUUACCUGAGCUUGCCUUUUAUGCUUUAAACUGAACUUUCAUGAACAUGAUUCGUUUAUUAGCCCGUUGAGCUACAUUGGAAUAAUAAGGAUACUCGAGUCUCUUCUGAUAAUAACAUGCCAAAGCCAUGUCCUAGACAUGGUCUUAUAGGGGACCUCUCAUCUCGGUGGACAUGGUCUUACAUGGGACCUCUCAUCUUGGUGCCAAUGCCAUGUCCCAGACAUGGUCUUACAUGAGACCUCUCAUCUCGGUGCCAAUGCCAUGUCCCAGACAUGGUCUUACAUGGGACCUCUUUACCCAAAUGUCAUGACAUUCGUAUCCAGUACCAUCCUUAUGUAUCAACGGGACUUUUUAAUUUUAAUUCUCUAUCAUUUCAUGCUUGGAUCAUCAUCAAAUAAAUUCAUGAAAUAAAUUCAUAGUUUUUGGAAAAUAAUAGCAUUAAUAAUAAAUAUUGAAAUAUUACAUUUAUUUACCGUAAACUUACCUCGGUAUCAAAUAUAGUCCAAUUCAACAACUUAGUCUUCAACUUUAUUCUUCUCUUUGUCUAACCUCGUGUUUCAUUCUUCUUGAUCUAAAAUAGAAAAUUUAACUUAUUUAAUACUCACAUUCAUCAAAACAGCCCUCGACUCUAACUUUUUCAAAAUUACACUUUUUCCCCUAAACUUUUACAUAAUUACAUUUUUCCCCAAGGCUCGGAAAUUAAAAUUUAUCCCUUAUUCUUAUGUUUUAUGACAUGCUGAACAUUUUUACCUUCUAUGACAACAUCAAAUUCCCACUCUAACAUGUACUUAUGAACAUUAGGUAUUUUUACCGAUUAUGUCGUUUUACUCGUUUUCAAUUAAAAUCGCUUAGCAAAAGUUGUUUAACAUAAUUUAUAACUUCAUAUUCUACUAUAAAACAUCAAAAUAAACACUUUUUACCUAUGGGUAUUUUUCCAAAUAAAAACCCUAGGUUAAAUUAUUGCUAAAAUAAGCUAAAUUAAGCUACCGGGAUCUCAAAAACGUAAAGAACAUUGAAAACGGGGCUUGGGAUCACUUACUAUGGAGCUUGGAAGCUUAAAAACCCUAACUAUGGCUUCCCCCCUUGCUGAUUUUGUCCAAAUGAAGAAGAUGAGCAUAAUUUGCCAUCUUUUUCCCUUUUAAUUAUUUUUAUUACUAGAUUACCAAAUUGCCCCUAACUUAAAAAUUUUCUAUUUCACUUAUCUCAUGUCCAUUUUUGUCUACCAAGUUACCAAUGGUCUAAUUACCAUAUAAGGACCUCCAAUUUAAAGUUUCAUAACAAUUGGACACCUCUAACAUGUAGAACUCAACUUUUGCACUUUUUACAAUUUAGUCAUUUUGACUAAAUUGAAUGCCCAAACGUCGAAAUUUUCGAACGAAAUUUUUAUGAAAUCAUUUUGUGAAAUCAUAGACCAUAAAAAUAUAAGAAAAAUAAAAUUUUUCUCAUCGGAUUUGUGGUCCCGAAACCACUGUUCCGAUAACCUUAAAUUUGGGCCAUUACAUUUUUCAACUAGGCUCUCCAUGUACCUGCUAAUAAGACUCAUAAAAUACAUAAUGUUUGGCCUCGUAGUAGUUAGACACAUCAAACUACCUACAAUUUGCUUGUAAAGUAUGUUAUCCAUAUUUUUUAGUAAGUUUUAAGCCAAACUCAUUGCAGUAUUGGAAGAGUUAUAAUUCGUCAACUUGAAUUUGUCCAAAAUCUCUCUGACAUACUUUUUCUCUUCCUUCAAGUAUCCAUGUAAGAAUGUCGACUUAAAAUCUAACUAGAAGAUUGAUGAAGAGUUCUGCGCUACUAAAGCAAUCACCAAUCUGAUGGUGUUAUGUCUUGCAACUAAGGCAAAAACUUUUGUGUAGUCCACACCAUACUCUUGUUUGUACCCCUUAGCUGCUAAUUGCGUAUUGCACUUCUCAACCUCCCUAUUUUCCUUCAACUUUGUCUUGUAGAUCCACUUGACACCAAUGGUUUUGUGCCCCUCAAGAAGAUCAGUCAUCUUCUAAGUAUCAUUCCUUUUAAUGGCUUCGAUUUUAGCAUCCAUUGCCUCUUUCCAUUUUACCUCAUUGGCAACAUUUUCAAAACUUAUUGGGCCACAAUUUGUAAAUAAUACAAAUUGAGAAAUUGCAUUAUCAUUUUCUCUAAUUUUGGUUACGUCAUAAUGUUACAUCCAUGCUAGCCUUCUUCGAACAUGACGAAGUGCUUCAGCUAUUGUACUAGUUUCUUCUUCAUGUGUAAACAAUACUUUAGUGGCUAAUGGAGAAGUAUUCUUGAGCAUUUCUUUAGCUUUAUUAUCACAAAGAACUUAAGUAGGUUGUGCUUCAUCCCAAUCCCAAGUGUUCUCUUCAUGAAACACAACUCUCGACUAAUCACAACAUUCUUUGUCACAGGAUUGAACAAUUUGUAUGCCUUUAAUUUGAUUUUUCAAUAAUACCAAGAAAGACACAUCAACAAGCUUCUUUUAUUUCUCCUCUAAGACAUGUGCUUAGGUAAUGCACUUAAAAAUUUUGAAAUGAUCUACCACUGGUCUCCUUCCACUCUAAGCCUUCUCCGGAGUCACAUCUCGAAGAGCAUUAGUAGGGCUCCUAUUCAAGAUGUAGAUGUUCCAAUUUAUAGCUUUUGACCAGUACACCUUUGAAAUUCUCCUUCUUGCUAGUAGGCUUCGAACCAUGUAGAGAAUGGUUCAAUUUUUCCUCUCUGAUACAUCAUUUUUUGUGGUGUAUAAGCAGUUGUGAGCUCUCUUUGGAUGCUGUAAACAUCACAAGUCUUCAAACUCCUUAGAGGAAUAUUCACCACCACAACUAGUUCAAAGAGCUUGAAUGGUUCUUCUUUUCUUAUUUCCUACACCAGCUUUGAAGCUUUUAAAUGCAUUAAAAGCCUUUGAUUUUUCUUGUAAAGGUAAACCCAUGUCUUACAAGAAUAAUAAUCAAUAAAGGUAAUAAAAUUCCAUUAGAAAUUGGAUUUAUUGGCCCACAAAUGUCUGAAUACACCAACUCCAAUACCUCUUUUGCUUUUCAUGACUUACCUUUGGGAAAUUGAGAUUGAUGUGGUUUACUAGCAACAAAUUCUUCACAAACUAGGGAAGGAAAAAUAAUUGGAGGAAGACUAGUCACCAUAUUUUUAUUUUUAAGUAUCUUCAAACCACCAAAGUUUAAAUGACCAUAGCAAAAAUACCACAACCAAGAAGGAUAUUUAACUUUUGCUAUUAAACAAGAUUGAGCAACCUCAAUCUUCAAUGGAAACAACCUAUUUUGACUUAUUUCCAUAAUAGCAACAACUGUUCUAGAUGGAUCAGAAAUCUCACAAGCACCAUUCCUGAAAUUAUCAACAUACCCUUUUUCCAACAGUGGCAUCAAAGCCAAGCUUGUUAUUGUUAGCUUGGAAAAGCUUUCACCUAUGACCUUGGAAAGUAGUCUUGUUCAAGUAGUUAUUCCUUGUUUUGAUGAUCACUAUGACCAUUGGAGUAUGCUAAUGGAGAAUUUCCUAUGGUCAAAGAAGUAUUGGCCAAUGGUUAGGGCAGGUAUCAAAGAGUCUGCAGAAGGAGAAACUUUGACGAAUGCCCAGAAAGUAAGGUUCGAAGCAAGAAAGCUGAAAGAUUUGAAGGUGAAAAAUCAUCUCUUUCAAGCUAUUGAUUGUCUCAUCUUGAAAACUGUUCUUUGCAAAAAAAAAACUUCCAAGGAUAUAUGAGAUUCCAUGAAGAAAAAGUAUCAAGGCUCUGCCAGAGUGAAGUAAUGACAUCUUCAAGCCUUGAGGAGGGACUUCGAGACUCUAUAGAUAAAGGAAAGGGAAUCUAUCACUGGCAAUUAUGUUAGAACCAUGGAGAUUUGUAAUAGGAUGCAAUUCUAUGAUGAGAAGAUGGAGGGUGCCACCAUAGUGGAGAAGAUUUUGCGCUCCAUGAUGCCGAAGUUUGAUCAUGUUGUUUGCAUCAUUGAAGAGUCAAAAGACAUAGAUGAAUUGUCUCUUGAUGAGUUGCAAAACUCUUUAUUUGUGCAUGAGCAGAAGAUGAAUUGUACUUUAGCCUUCAAGGAAUAAACUUUGAAGGCUUUUACUUUUUUUUUCAAUUUUAGAGGAAUGGGUAAAGGUAGAGGUAUAUAUUGGGAAAUGUGCCUAUAGUUUAGUAAACAUGUAACUAUUUUCUAUUUAUUUAAACGGUGAAUUAAUAAAUAAAAUUAAUUUCACAUUUCACUAUUAUGUCUUUUGUAUUUUCUGUCUUUUAUAUUUACAAUACAUAGCAAAAUUGUGACAAGCAAAUAUUAGCUCAUUGAUUGUCUAAAGUUCAAACUGAAGAUAAGUGACAUUGUAAAGAACAUUUACAUUGUGGGAAAGACAACUUAUUUUAGUAGAUAAUCUAAAUGAGUCCGUAAUCUCGUAAAAGAAUCAAAGUGAGCAUUUGAUUCAAAUAGUGAGAAGGAUUAUCAUGUCAUCUACAAUUCUAAUUAGGGAGAUGGCUAGUCUUGGCUAUCGGAGUAGUUGACUCUAUUAGUAGAGAAAUAUAUGUAUUCAUUGGUAGAAUGAUACAUUGGAUUGGACCCAAUAUGAAUUAAUUCACUUUUGACGUUCAUGGUGUGGUUUAUCCAAAUAUUGAGUUAGUCACUGACCAUGCGUAUGCAACCCAUGUGCUUUGAUAUAAGUGGAGGCUUAUGCUCUAAAGAUGAUCGAGCCCAUAGUCGGUAUGUUGGGUACAUAACUUGUGUAUGGCAUGAUUUUACUAGCAACAAUGGAAUUCAUAGCUCAAUUAAAGAGUUAAUGAUAUCCUCUCAUUGGUAUUGUGUGGAUUGAUAAAUAUAGAACGUGGCCACGGGUUGCUUGUUCUUGAAAGAGUAAUUUAUCACAGUCAUUUGUUGACAGUGAUCGUAUUAAUCAUUAAGGAGACACAAUAGUGAUAAUGAGAUAAAAUAAGAUUGUAUUGAGUGAACGGAUUUAAGUCAAAGGAAUCAAGGAUAUCAUAUGAGGGUAACACACACAUGAUGAGGUCAUUGGACAAAGCAGUUGGGUGAAUUGCUUUCUUAAAGAGUAUACAAUAAUGAGUUUUCAAUCAUGGCACUUCUUAUGGACUGACUCUUGAUUAAGUAAUUGCGAAUUAUUGUAAUGAUGCUUUUAGACAUAAUUACAAUCACUAGAGCCUAAUUGUAUAUGUUCAAUUAGUCCAUCCGUUAGCUCAACAAAAGCUUGAUCGUACUGCAUUUGAAUCAGAAGAAAAUUCUACGACUUUGGAAAUAAUUUAAUUGAGUCAAUUUAUUCGAUAUGGAAUUAAAUUAGGUAGUCGCGAGAAUUGUUUAACUAGAGAAUUUGGUUAAAUAAUUUUCUUAAAAAAUUAAUUUGGAAAAUCUAAGUGAUUUUUAGGAAAAUUAAUUUUGAUCAAGUAAAAUUAAAUUGAUCAAAUUAAUUAAAAUUAAUAUAAUAUUUUUGGAAAUUAAUUUUCAAGUAAGACAAUUGGUCCAAUGGGUAAUUGAACUUUAAAAUUGGACCUGAGAUCAUAAGCGUGAGAGCCCAAAACCAAGACUAAGACCCAAAAACUGGUCGAAUCGGGCUCGGUAUGUGAAACCGGGUCGACGGUCCAAUUGGUGACUAGAUUGAAUUGGUCGGGUUGUCAUUGACCCGGACCAAACCGGCUCAGGGUGCCGUAAGGGUGUCGCACCUGCAUCACUGGACAUAUCGGUGUUGGUGGCUGCGACGACGGCGUCCUGGUGACUGCUGGAGGUUGGUCAUCGGUGAUUGAGUUGUGGAAGAGUUACACUCCUACUGGGACUCUACCAGAGAAUUUAAUUUCAAAUUAACUACUUAAAAAAUAAUAUUAUUUUAAUAGUUUAACAUUAAAUUUAAUUUAAUAAUUAUCUUAAUAGUAUUUUAUUAAUUUAAUAUUAAAAUGAUUAUGCUAAUAUUAAAUUUAAUUUAAUGUUUAUCUUGUAGAUAAAUAUUCUAUUAUUUUAAUAAGAUUUAAUAUUAAAUUUAAUCUAAUAUUUAUCCUGGUAAUUAUUAUAUUAUAUUAAUUUAAUAUCAAAGUGAUUAAGUUUAAUCAUAGUUGAACUCUCUAAACUCUCCCUAUAUAAAGAGAUCAUUGAGUCAUUAUUUACACACCCUUGAGUUCAAGAGAAAGUUGUAGAGAGAAUUUUCUGAAGAGAUUAUUUAAAAAUAUUUCUAGAGAUAUUUUUUUGAUUUAUAACUUGACCCAAAAGUUUAGAGAGAUUGUAAAAUUACCCCACUGGUAAUUUUUGUGAAAAAUUUUCUAAUUCGAAGCGAGCUCACACUUGGCAAACGUGAGCUUGAAGAUUGCGGAGAAGACUACUCGGUCGAAGCGCUAAUCUUAGACGAAUAAAAAUAAAUAGUUUUGAUUAAGUGUUUAUUAUUUUAGAUAUCAUAACCUAAAUUUAUUUUCGUCUGCGUUUUCUCAACCUAUUUUUCCAACAAUAUAAGGAGAAGUUUGAGGUAAUAUAAAUGGUGGCAACAGAAAUGGUAGCAAGAAUUACGAAAUCAAUGAGGACCAAAGUAAGGAUAAAUGACGAGGUUUUGAUAAAUCUAAAAUAAAAUGCUUCAUGAGGUAAAAAUUUGGUCAUUAUCAUUUUGAAUGUUAUUCUAGGCUACUAAAUGAUAAGGAUGAAGAAUCACAUUGAAAAGGAAGCUGAGCCAAAUGUAUAAUAUGUGGAUAUAGGUUGUAGUAUUUUUUUCGUAUUUAAAUGAUAAUUUUCGUUGUAGAAUCACCUUUGGUGAUUAUUGUACUGUGGAUUUCAUAAUUAAAAUUGCACGUGAAAUUUGACGUUUCCUAAAAACCUUAAUUGUUUUUGAAGACUUUUGUUACUAUACCCCGAUCCUUAUAAGAUCCAUCACCGUGAAAUGACAAAAAGUAAUUCAAUGCACAUUAAUUGUGCCAGCGGCUCCAAGCCCAUUGAUUUCACUAUACAUUCCAUGCUUUUAGGUUAACCAUCUUCACACAAUCAAAUCAAGCUAGUUAGCAAUGGCUUCCACUACCAAUUCCCCAUCAACCCUCCUCACCCUUCCUAAUUUCUCCAUUCAAACUUCAACAUUCCUUCCCAAAACAUCUCAACGUUCCAUAUUUAAGAAGAAAAAGCCUUUCAACUUUAACUCCAAAAGAGUAGUGUCAUGCAAAGCCAGCAAUGGGAAACAAAACGAUGCAGAUCACACUUCUUUUCUCAAUAGGUUCGAUAGAAGGGACAUCCUUCUUGGCCUUGGAGGAAGUCUCUACGGUGCAACCAGCCUUGUUAGAGACCCAUUUGCAUUGGCAGGCGACGCAAUCAAGCCUGACCUGUCCAGCUGUGGGGAAUCAACCGUAGAUACCGGUAAAAACUGCCUGAAUGUCCCUUGCUGCCCACCAAAGUUAAAAGGUUCGAAGAUCAUAGACUUCGAACCACCUUUAGGUUGCAAGAUCCGUUAUCGGCCGGCAGCACAUUUAGUUGAUCGUGAUUACCUGUAUAAAUUUGAAUCGGCAAUGGAGAGAAUGAAAGCUCUCCCUGUGGAUGAUCCACGUAAUUUCAUGCAACAAGCCAAUAUUCAUUGUGCCAAUUGCAAUGGGGCUUAUAGUCAAGUGGGGUUCCCCGAUCAAAAACUUGAAGUUCACUACUCGUGGCUUUUUUUCCCAUUCCAUAGGAUGUAUCUGUAUUUCUUCGAGAGGAUAUUGGGCAAGUUGAUUGAUGAUCCAGAUUUCGCAAUGCCAUUUUGGAACUGGGAUUCUCCCUGUGGGAUGACUAUGCCUCAGAUAUAUUUAGACCCUUACUCUCCAUUGUACGAUGAAAACCGCAAUUUGAAGCAUCAGCCGGACGUUUUGGUUAAUCUUAAUGACGGUAAACCUGUUGUAAAAAAAAAAAAAUGAAAAAGAAGAAGAAGAAGAAGAAGAAGAUAGUUUUGAUAAAUUAACAAAGAGGAAACAAAUAAAGAGUAAUCUCUAUGUGAUGUAUCAGCAAAUGGUACGGUCCGCCAAGACCGCUUCUUGUUUCCAUGGAGCGGCGUACCUUGGCGGUUGUGAAUCGGAAACCGAUAUCAGUUGUACUCCCGAACCGAGAGGUGGUACCAUUGAGAACGGUGCUCACAUCGCCGUUCACAAGUUCGUUGGUGCCGAGAAUCCACCUUAUAACGAAGACAUGGGGAGUUUCUAUUCUGCUGGUAGAGACCCUUUGUUCUACGCUCAUCAUGGCAAUGUUGAUCGAAUGUGGAACAUUUGGAAGACAUUGCCAGGGAAGAAGCGACGUGAUUUCGACGAAGAUGUUUGGCUCAAUUCUUCGUUUCUUUUCUACGAUGAGAAUGCAAAUAUGGUUCGCGUUAAAGUUCGCGAUUGCCUUGACUCUAAAACUUUGGGGUACGAUUACCAAAGUGUUGAUAUUCCAUGGCUUAGAAGCAAGCCAACACCUCGAAGGAGUCGUCCUGGUGUGGGAAGGGAUCAGGAUCAGGGUCAGGAUGUAGCAGCCAGACGAAAGAGUAAAAACUUCAGGCGUUUUCCAAUAGUUUUAGACAAGGUGGCCGUACGCAUUGAGAUUCCAAGGCCAAAUAAGGAACUAAGAAUAAAGAAAAAAGAUGAAGAAGAAGUAUUGGUUCUUCAAAACAUACAGCUAGACAGAAAUGACUCAGUGCAUUUCGAUGUCUCCAUUAAUGACGAUGAAGACGACGACAACCCUUGCAAACCGGAAGAUGCGCAGUUCGUGGGGAGCUUUUCGAGUUUACCGCGCGGAGAUAGUUGCCACUCCGAGGCGAUGCUUAGUACAAAUCUGUAUUUGGCAUUAUCAGAUGCGCUGGAGGCUUUGAAGAUUCAAUUUGAAGAUACCAUUGUGGUGACUUUGGUGCCUAAAGAAGGGGAAGUUUCGAUUGGUAACAUUAAGAUCGACUACGUUUGUUGAUUUGGGGGUGAAUAUUUUGCUUCAUCCUUUGUGUUCUCGCUAGAUCGGAUUGAUGGGGUUCAUCAAUUUGUUUCUCGCAUGUGUCUUUUUUUUUUUUUAAUAAAAAUAUCAAGCUAAAUGAACAAAAGCAGCGGCAGCUUUAUCUUGCUCAAGAAGAUAAUCAACUCCCUAAAGGCGCCUGAUAUUUUCUGCAUAUCAUCAAUUCAAACAGGAGAUAUUUUAGUUAACCGAGUAACCACUUGAUUUCUUUAACUAUCCAAGACUUCUUGCACUGUAAAUAGCUCUGAAUGCUUCCAAGUAAUCUGUCUAAAUUAAAGCUUUGACAUAUAUAACAAGAGUAACUCGUCCGAGAUACUCUAGAAUUCAACAUUAAAGACUGAAUAAAUAUCUAAAUUAUGAUUGAACCCGACAAUUUAAUCUUGCCAAUUUUUAUUAUUAAAUUUUACCAUUUACUUUUUGUAUUAUUUAUAAAUUUUAAGUCCAGCUUUAUAAAAAAAUAUCAUUUUAGUUCUUCAUUUAAUUUUAUCUCUUUUUAACCCUUAAACUUAUGUUGUUUGUCAAAUUGUCUCAAAAUAAAUAAAAUAAAUUAAUAUCUAUUAACUUACUCUAGAAUUCAACAUUAAAGACUGAAUAAAUAUCUAAAUUAUGAUUGAACCCGACAAUUUAAUCUUGCCAAUUUUUAUUAUUAAAUUUUACCAUUUACUUUUUGUAUUAUUUAUAAAUUUUAAGUCCAGCUUUAUAAAAAAAUAUCAUUUUAGUUCUUCAUUUAAUUUUAUCUCUUUUUAACCCUUAAACUUAUGUUGUUUGUCAAAUUGUCCCAAAAUAAAUAAAAUAAAUUAAUAUCUAUUAACUUUGUUGACACAUCCACGUGUAUGCCACAUCAACAUUUACUUAAUUCUUUUUACAAAAUUAAAAAAAUUCUGAAACAUUAAAAAAGCUUUAAAAUUAUAAAAAAUUUAAAAAUUAUAAGUUUUAUUUAAUAAUAAAAUUAUAAUAAUAUUCUAUACAUUUUAGAAUUUUUAAAAAUUUUAAUCAGUUAUUAACGUGACAUACACGUGGAAUGCCACAUAAACAAAAUUAUUAAGCGUUAAUUUUUCUAUUCAUUAUAAAGUGCUUUGACAAAAAAACGCUAGUUUAACGGUUAAAAGUGGCGAAGAUUAUAUGAAGGGUUAAAAUGAUUUUUUUUAUAAAAUUGAAGGACUAAAUAAGUCAUUAUGCCUAAAUUUUAUCAUAUUUAUAAAUAAAAUUUUAAUUUUACUAAAAUAUUUGAUUAAAUAUAUUUACUUUAUAAAAAAAUUGUCAUACUUUUAUAAGAAUUUCGAGUCAAUUAAAAUACUUUUAUUAAAUGAAUUUAUAUAAUAAUAAAUAAAUUUAAAUUUUAUAUUGAAUUAAUUUAUAUUAAAUUAUUAUGUUUUCAUUAACCCAAAAAAGUUAUAUUACUUAUUUUUAAAUGAAUUUUUUAAUUAUUUAUAUGAUAGGUAGCUUUAUAUUUUACAUGCAAUAUUUUAUAAAGAAUACAUUUAUAUAAUCUAAUCUAAUAGAUUAUAAUUAUAUGAAGGCUUGAUUCGCAAAUUGGUACCUAAGUUAUGUUAUUUUUUCCAUCUUGGUAUCUAAACUUUUUUUUUUUUGUUAUCAGUCAUCCUUAAGCUAUUUUUUCCCCAAAUUGGUAUAUCUGUUAGUUAACCCAUUAAGUCUAUUUAAAAAAAAAGUUCAACCCACAAAUUAGUACCUCAGCAGUACUCUUUUUCUCAAAUUGGUACCUAAUUUUUUUAUCAUAAGUGAUACCUAAACUAUUCUUCCAUCACCAUUUUACACCAAAAUAUUAUAUUCGUUAAAAAAAUUACAACCAAUUAUAGAUUGUCACUUCAUAUAAACUUUUAAUUUUUUUAACUUUUAUUUAUUUAUUUUACAUUAAUUCUGUCUUUAUAUAUUUUAUUUAUUUAUUUUUCUUCCUUUAUAAUGCCUAGUAAUACCAACAAUACUUAAAAUUGAUUCGCUCGAGGUUGAGACACCGGUGAUUAAUUCUGUUUUGAAAUUUCACCAUGUUGAUUAAACCUUAUAUGAAUUAUAUUUAAUUUGAGUUGGAAUCACAAUAAAUAAUUAUAUAUAUUUAUGCAAGAAAUUAAGAAUUUUAUAUAGUUCAUGAAUAAUAUAUAAUUCAUAUAAGGCUUAAUCCAACAUUCACCCUUCGGCAUUUCCGGCAUACCAACAUCUACACCAUAUCAUCAGUGGGCAGCCCAAUCACUGACUUCUGUCGACGAACAGGCUUACACUCCGCUGCAAACAAUCCCAUCCACUCCAAGCGGCCAUAAAUCAACCCCAACAAUCGCCCCACACCAUCCUUGAACACCCCACUCCAUCCCCCAAGCCUUUCUUCACUCUGAAUACAAUACAUAAAAUAAAAAUGAAGAGACGACUCUCCCAUCUGCAAGGAAAGGAUGUUGCCCCCUUUCAACCAACCAUUCUCAAACCAUGGUUCAUGCCACCAACCAAGCUCACUUACCACCAAUAAUGGCUCUAAUCCAACAAACAGAUCGCAUUUUGCAAAGGAAAAUGAUCUCUUCAGCAAUCCACUCUUUUCCAUUAAGUAUUAAUUCAUUCCUAGCUAGCCACAAUGACCAUAACAUAGCGCCACAAGCAACAAGCCACUUCCUCUUAACAUUCGAUCUUCCAAACAUGCAGCAACGUACACAAAAUCACUGACAUUCCAAGGAAUCACCCACAUAACACCCCACCAUUGAAAAACAGUCCCUAAGCUUUCCAAGAGGAAGAACGAAAGAAAAAAAUUAUCACAAUUCUCUUCAGCAUCAUUGCACCAAGAACAAUUAACACAACCAUUAACUGUUGGAAAUACCUCGAUCCCUUAAAAAUGCAUUUUGAAGGUAUACCAUUUUGGAGUAACAGCCAUAGGAAGCAUUGCACCUUUGUUGGAACGCAUAGCUUCCAAAUGAAAGAAAACCACACCUUUUGAUGCGCCAAAGAACCUCACAAUCAAGAGAAAACACAACUUUCUUCACAGUACAUUUCCCUUUGCUGUCCACCUCCCACAUCAACUGAUCUGCCUUGUUCUCAUUUAAAGAGACCCAUUUGAAAAUCUGCCACAACUCCAUCGCAGACCCCCUCUCCUGUUCAAACAAAUCUCUUUUGAAAAAUCUUUCAUCCUUGUGAAGACCAUCCCAAGCCUCGUCCACCGUGAUAUUUUUCUUCAAAGCCAAGAAGAAAGUCUGGGGAAUCUGUCUUUCAAAGCACACAGUCCAACCCAAUGAUCCAUCCAAAAUGAAACUGAUCUCCCACUGCCGAGGCGCCAUAUAAAGCUUCCUUCACCUAACAUUUUGUCCAUCCCUUCGUGUCUUCUAACUUCCACAACAUUGGGAAUUCACCACAUUGGGCCUCCAACGAUAGUUGCUAAUACCAUAUUUUUCGUCCCUAUUAUUGAUGUGGUGAUUGUCAAUUUAAUUCUUACACAUUAAAAGUACAUAAAAAUAUUUUUAAAAAAUUAAAAAUUAAAAAUUAAAAAUUAAAUUUUUUUCUUAUUUCCAAUAAAAAAUUGUAAAAGGUUUACUAAAAAUUAUGAAAUGCAUUAUUUAAAAUUUAAAAUUAAAUAAAAAAUUCAAAAAAAUAUAAAUUAUUUCAAAAAUUCAAAAAAAAAAAGUAAUAAAGUCUAGAGUUAUCCAUAAAUUGGUUUGGACAAAGGUUUUAUGUCUCAAGCUGAGACCAAACCAAAAUAGAAUUUAAGUAAUCUAAAUAUUUUUAAAUUUAAAUUUAUUACAAAAAUUAAUAUAAAAUAUAUGUUUAAUAUUUUAUUAUUUUAAACAAUAAAACAAGUUUUUUUAGACGAGCUAAACCAAAAAAAAGCUUAACUGCAAGACCUGACCAGGCCUAAUAAGAAGCUUCAAUCUUCUAUGGAUGACGACUCAACGGUUAGUAUUAUUGUGAAGGAUAUUAAGGCAAAAAGCAAUAGGUCUGAGAACUUAACUUUUCGAUUUGUACCGUGUCGAUUUAACAACUCCGCACAUGUGCUCGUUAGUAUAGGCUAGUCAUAUUCUUGUUCCACGGACUAGAUGGAGGAAACCUCGGUGGCUGUCGAAAACGCUGCGUGUUAAUAUCUAUGGUGAGUUUUCAAUAAAUUGAACAAGAACUAUAUUGAAUAUGAAGAGAAUGUAUUAAACAAGAAAGAACUCUUUUGUAUUUAGACUAUUAGCUUGAUAUGUAUAUUGCAAUCAUGGUAUUUAUAGAACAUAUGAUUAUCUGUUACUACUUAACAACUUAACUAUUUUGAAUAACAAACUAACAGUUAGGCUAGAUGAAUAACACUCUUAACAUUCACCUAUCUUCUCGACAGGUAAAACUCGGAGAAGAUCUCGAAAUCUAGCAAAAGACGAUAUAAAGAGUGGCUUGGUAAGAAUAUCAACAACCUGUUCACAGGCAGGAACGUCACCAACAAUAAUAGAUCCAUCUGCUACUUUCUCACGAACGAAAAAUAGAUCGAGCUCAAUAUGUUUGAAUUUCGAAUGUAAGACAGGAUUAGCAGCUACAACAACAACACUAGAAUUGUCACACCAAAUGGUAGGGGGAUCAAUAUUGUGAAGAUGUAACUCUUUUAGUAACGAAACUAACCAAGUAACAUCACUGGUAGCUGCAGUAAGACUCCGAUAUUCAGCCUCAGUCGUAGACCAUGAAACUGCCUAUUGUUUCUUGAAACACCAUGAGAUAGGUGUGUAACCAAAAUACACACAAAUAUCACAGGAUUCGUUUUGAAACAACCAUAUAAACAGUAGCGGGCGCAUGCAUGAACUGGCAAACACAAUUCACAGCAUUAGCAAUAUCAGGACGAGUCAAGACCACAUACUGUAAAGUACUUAGAAGACUUUUGUACUCAGUAGGGUCAUCAAGACAAUCUCCGUCAUUCUUGGACAAAGUAGACUAGCUAAUCAUUGGAGUAUGAACACUUUUUGCAUGAGUCAUAAAACUCCUAUCAAGUAAAUCGUGAAUGCACUUCCUCUGACAAAGAUGAAGGCACCCUGUGGAGGAACGAGUGACCUCAAUCCCUAAAAAAUAGUGUAGAUCUCUCAUAUCUUUAAGUGAGAAUUUGUCAUUUAACUGCUUAACAAAGCUAUUUAUACAAUCAGACAUACUGCCAGUAAUGAUAAUGUCAUCCACGUAGACAAGCACAUAAAGGAUGGAGUUAGUCGUAACUUUAACAAACAAAGAUGCAUUAGAUUUGGACAUAGUAAAGCCAACAGAAAGAAGAUAACACUUCAGUUUAUCAAACCAAGCACGCGGAGCUUGACGAAGCCCAUAUAAAGCUUUCUUCAGACGACAGACUAAAGGCCUGCCAGUUGAGCCAUAUUGAACAUACCCUGGAGGUUGUUGUAUGAAUACCUCGUCAACAAGAUCACCAUUCAAAAAUGCAUUAUUCACAUCUACCUGACGGAGUUGCCAUCACUAGAAACAACAACAGAUAAAAUGACACGAGUAGUAGCAGGUUUUAUCACGGACUGAACGUUUCUUUGAAAUCAUACCCAGGCACUUGAGAACACCCUUUAGCUACUAAGCGAGCCUUUCGACGGCCAAUUGUACCAUAAUGAUUUUUCUUAACUUUGAAAAACCAUUUACAUCCAAUUGCCUUAUGAUUAGAUGGUAAUUGAACAAGAUCGCAGGUGAAAUUAUUGAUGAGAGCAUCAUAUUCUGCCUGAGCCGCAGCUCGCCAUUCUAUGGUGGAAAGGCUUCUUCAACCAUGAGGUCUAAGAACUUCAACUGACAAUGCCUUAGGCUUAAAAAUGUCAGCCUUAGACCGAAUAACCAUCGGAUGAGUAUUUGCUGGAGGCAAAGAUGAUGACGAUGGAGAGAAAGAAGUAUUAGCAAUAGGUACAACAGCAGACGGAGUAUCAGCAUUAUUGUGUAAAGAAUGUGGCUUAUCUACCUCAACCUGAGGAUUGGUAGAGACAGAUGGCGAAAGGAAAAAACCAAGAGGUGAAGAUGAUACACGUGGUAGAACAGAUGAAGACUCCAAAUGCUGAGAAGGAACGUUGACUUAGUACCAGACGAAGCCAUGAAAUCCCUUGUAGCAGGUAAAGGAGCCAAGAACCUUUGUUCAUUAAACAUAACAUGACGAGAAAUAACAACCGUACCAUCCAGCAUAAGACAUUGAUAACCUUUGUGUUGGGAGCGAUAUCCCAAGAAUGUACAAGAUUGAGAAUGAAAAUCCAACUUAUGAGACAAAAAUGGUCGUAAGUACAGAAAACAACAACACCCAAAUACUGUCGAUGAUCAUACGUGGGAUCUUGUCCAUAAAGAGCCUUAUAAGGAGUCUGGCCAUGCAGAACUGAGGUAGGGAGACGAUUGAUGAGAUGAACAGCACAACAAAAUGCACAACGCUAAUAUUUCAUAGAAAGAUUCGCUUGAGCCAAAAGUGUAAUACCCAUUUCAACAAUAUGCGGAUGUUUGCGUUCAGCCGCCUCAUUCUGUUCAAAACUAUGUGGACAAGACAACCGAUGAACUAUCCCUUAAGUUGUUAGAAUAGACGUGAAAGUGCGAAAUUCGCCACCCCAAUCACUCUAAAAUUGUUUGGUAUUUUUCCCGUAUUGAGUUUUGACAAGCUGCUGAAACUGAGCAAAACAAUCGACUGCUUGAGACUUUUGGCGAAUAAGAUAAAUCCACGUAAAUCGAGUGCACAUCUCAACAAAGGACACAUAAUACCAAUUAUGACCACAUGCAACUGAUGCAGGCCCCCAUAGAUUAGAAACAACCAAAGCAAACGGUUCACUAUAGCUUCAUCCAGUCUGAGAGGUUGACUGGUUUCAAAAUAGGAACAGCUAUUCCGUGUCCACUAAAGUAGAAGAACAGGACAUCUCCUGGUCUAGCAGUGUGUACCAUUUCAUAAAGUGCAGCCUUGAUUUUUAUACCCGUAGGCAUAGCCAAUGAGUCUGGUAUAUAAUUGUCAAUCAAAGUUAAACCUUCUCAUAAUCAACCUUCUUAUGUUCUCCACAUCAUUUAUGCAUCCUUUCAGGUUGUAAGGGGUCUUUGGGUAAUUACAACCCACAAGAACAGCUUUCUUUUUAUGCACCAGCUUGUUAAUCAUGGGUAAGGCUAAGGGUGUUGGAAUGGUGGCCAGGAAAGCUGUACCGACAUUCUUAUCACUGCAAUAAAGGCAUAAGGGUGUUGCUCGUGAAAUCCAAGGCUGGUUAUUUCAUCCCUAGCAUUCAUCACAAGCUGUUUAUUAGUUAAUGUACCAUUGGUCUCGUUGAUAAUCUUUUGAAGUGAAUAUAUAAGGCCCCAUACGCCUUUCCUUGGGUUUUGUCACUCGGUUCCAAAUCAAGGGAUAGCUCAUCGGCUUGGCACCCACUCAAUAGAAUCCCCUCAUCCUCCGUUAAUGACCUUGGCUCCUGAGAGGGUUGGAAUUUUAAACUGACGUUGUCUCGAAAGAUUCCGGUCAAAAGAUGGCCAAUGUUGCUGACAAUAUCUAAUCCAGU
rnacentral:lncRNA from 1 species